rnacentral:lncRNA from 1 species
UGAACAAAGCAGUCAUGGAAGUGAAGCCUGACGAGACUAGCGAGCAUGCGAGUAUCUGUCUUGGAAACAUUUCUUAUGACUUCACGAACAAUGGAACUAACAUUUGGGCAAGUGUUUUUGUAAAAGGAUGGAUCGAGUUGUGCAUUUGAGGAGAAAGGUAAGACUCCAAAGAGAAGUAGAAGAGUGAACAAAGAGGUUGUUGCAAGAGAGUUCAUUGUUGUGGUUGUUGUUGUGAGAUGAAAGUGUGGGUAAAGUUAAGAUUUAUUUAUAGAUAGAUAAUGAUAUGAUGAAUAGGGAAGGCUCGUGGUUGCAAUGAAUGGUCAAGAAACAUUGUCUAAGGUGAAAAUAUUGACCGAAUAAAACAAAGGUCGAUAUAGGAGUACUAGAAAGAGGCUGUCGUGCUACUUUUAUCAGGGAAGGGACCCCAUAAAAGGCAACUUGAAUCAUGUUGAGAGCAUUGUCAUUCAAUGAAAUUCAUUGUAUUUUAACCAAAAUAAAUGGUUCUGCUCAACUGAGGCAAGUGGGUGGCACGGAUUUGUUCAAAAUAUAGGAGUUUUCCUUCUUUUAAACAACAAGGAAUAGAAGAUCCGUGUGUCCGCACGAGUAUGAGAAAAGUAUGAGAUAUAGUAUCAAAUAAAUAUUUUAAAAAUCAGAGUGAAUCCGUCGGUUCAAUCGGGAACUGAAGAUGAAUCUGAUUGGGUCAAUCUUUCAAAACUGUUAGUGAUUAAAAUCAAUAAAACUAGAAAAAUCGAAUUAAACAAUCUAAAACCAUUCGAACAAAAGAAUCGGAGUCAAUUUUGUAAAACCGUCCGAUUAAAAAAAAUGCCUCAAAUUAACCAUUUUUUUUUAUUUUUAAAAUUUUAAUAUGUCAAUAUUGAAACUUAACCUACAUUCCUCAAUCACAAAAAAAAAAAGAUUCCAUAUUUUUCUACAAUCAUACAAAUUUCUAAAUUUUGUCACACAAUUAUAGUUUUUAUUUCAAUCAUACUCCAUCAUCAUCACGCCGUCUAUUUUAAAUAUAAUGAUAUCCAAUAUAAUAUUGAUUAUCGUUCAAGUCAAUAUUACUUGUUGUUGUCAAUUAAGACUUGUUUGUCGUAGUUCAACUCAAAUUCAUUUUUUUUUAAUGAAGUAUAAUAUAUUAUUUAUUUUUAGUAUUCUAUCUUAUUUAAUUUAUGUAUUUUUAAUUAUAUGAACUUUAUUUUGGUUAUUAUAUUCUAUUAUUUUUAUAUUGAUUUUAUUUAGUUUAACUUAUUUUAUUAUAAUUCUUUAAUUUGAUCAAAUUAUUCUUAAAUAAAAGUCAAAAAAUGAAAGUUGAAAUGAAAUAUAAAACUAUAUUAUGUUAUUAUAUGUAUUAUCGAUAUUGUUGUAUUAACUUUGUAAUAGAUUUUUGAAAUAUUUAUUUUAUUAAGUUUUGAAACGUAUGAUUAGUGUGACAUAUUUAUGAAAUUUAGUUUUAUAUUAUUAGUUUAUUUAAUAAAAGGUUCGACCAUAGGUUUAACCAAUUUAAUCAAUUAAACCUUAAAUUGUAAGUUUCACCGGUUCGAUCUCCGGUCCGAUUUUUAAAACAUUAUAUCAAAAUAAUAUUGAUAGUUGAGUUAUAUUCAAACGCACAUUAAAAACUAUUUAUGCAUUUUUGUUUGUUUGGAUAUAACUGAUUGUAUCUCGUAUAACUUUAUGAAAUAUUUCAAUCACAUUUUAAACAUUACAAUGAAAAGAUUAAAAUAGAUAAUAAUCAAGAUUUUAGAUUUAUUAUUUUUGAGAGCGAUAUUUGUGCAUGUUUUCUUAUUUGAAUCUAAUUUGUUGUGUUAUGUGUCACUUCAUAAAUAUUUUAUAUACGUGAAAAAAAUGGAAUCCAACUAAUUAUCUUUGGUGUUAUACCAUUAAAAUAAAAUCUAUAUAAGCAAUAUACAUGCUUGUUUUCUUGACGGAAUUUAAUGGGGUUGUGUCCCUUGCAAAUUUAUAAACUAUUCCAAUAAGAUUUUGAAGAUAAAAUGUUAUAUAAAAAUUAUAUAUAAGUAACUGGAAAAAAAUUUAAAUUAUAUAAAAAUUAUACUAAAGAAUAAACACCUUAAACAAUUUCUCUACACAAGAAAUAUUUCAGUCAACCAUAAAAACCAAAAGUUUUCAGAAUCAAACUAAUAAAAAAUAUAUCCAAAUCAAAAGUUAUGAUCUACUAUAAAACCUGUAAGAUAAAAUAGUAUUAGUUUAGAUCAUUGUGAUUCAUUUUUAUCUAAAACUUCAAUUUGAGGAUGUAACAUAUUUAAGAAACUCACUCUAACGGGUUGAUUGGAACAAACCUUAGCUGAUUCAUCUUCUGUAUCAUCCUCCAACAAAAUCAAUUUAACCAUAUCAAUGAUAUCUUCAAAUUCUAGGACAUUAAAUCACCAAAUUUUACACUUAUUUAUAUUAAUAACACUUAAAUAUUAAUAACACCUAAAUUUUUAUAGUUAUAUAAUAUUUUAAUUUGAAAAGCAUGACAUAAAGUUGGAACCAUCAUGCAUUUUUAAAGUGGAAAAUCAUAUUAAAAUUCUUAGAAGUACCAGAAAUAUUAGUAUACAGUAUUGUUGGUCUAUAUAAUAUUAGUAUACAGUAUUGUUGGUCUAUAUAAGUUAUAUGUCUAUCAUUAACCUUCAUAAUGGUCAUUGUUGGUCCAUAGAAGUUAUAAAAAAUUCCAGAAAAAAUGAAACACUAAAAUAUCCUAUAAUUUCAAGCUACAAAUAUAAUUAUCAUAAUUCAUAUCAUCAAUAGCCACAAUACGGGUGAAUCAUAUAGCAUGUCUUAAAUAUAUAUAGUAACAUUGUACAAUGAAUAAAACUAUGUUUUGAAAGUAAAUUUAUCGGUCAAAUCAAAGUUGUAGUGUAUUUUUGUGUAUCUCCCAAACUGAUACAUAAAUAAUAUUUUACCAUGUUAAAUCACAUCUUAAUAAAAAAUUGCAUGCUUUUAAAGCUUAAACCUUAAAUAUUGUUUGAAAAAAAUAUGAAAAGUUGAUUGACUAUUUAAUAAAAGUAAUAACUUAAUAAUCGAAAGAGUUAAUAUUCAUAGUUAGAUGAAUUGAACUAAAGUAAUGGUACUUGACAUGGAACUAACUAACUUUACAAAACAUGACAUUUCAUUCAGUACCAAGUAACAUUACCAAUGCUCAAAAUGAUUCAAUAUGCAUACUUUCUGCGAAAAAUUACAAUAGCAGCAUUAAACAAAUAUGUAUAACAUACUGCAUUGUGGCUAAUGACGAUGACAUUACAUGUUAGCUAAAAUCUCGAAACCUAUAUGAUAGUUAGACAAUAUGUAUUCAUUUUGCAAUUAUCUAUAAAUUUGAACAUUGGUAAAAGCUAAAUAUCUAUUCCAUAUAGCCAUAUCCAGCUCCAGCUGUGAAGUACUGUCACAUCUAGUAGGUAGUAAUAAAGAAUCACCUAGAAAUAUAUGAUGCCAUGUAAUCCCUGAAAUUUGUACCUCAGUUUCCGACUAAGUACAAGCGAUGUGCUCAAUGAGGUAUCAUCUACCACAUGCCCAUAUUAAUCUGUACUCCAUGAAAUAUCACUUGAGGACUGCAUAUUCAAAUCAUCCACCUCACAAAGUACUUUAGUAAACCAUCGAUUGAAGCUAUCAACCUUCCUCAACACAUGUGACAACUUUUCCUUGUUUGUAUCUGGAAGACUGAUCUGGAAAUAAGCAACCAAAGACAUCUUAUUAAAGCUUAAAAGUUUAAUCAUUGUUUAACAAACCAAUUAAAUGUAUUUUGUUUUGUUCUUAAAAUUAUACCAGCACCUUCUCUUUAUUACAAAGGAAAAUAAAAAUAACAUUAAUCUAACACAAUCACACGAUAUAAGCACCCCAACACAUAUCAAACGUCUCAUCGAUGCUGAUAUAAGUUAAAUCCAUAUAUAUUGACAAAACCAGAAACAUAGACUGUCAUUAAAAACAAAACAAAAACACCUGUCUCAUAACUAUUUUAGUUCAAGGAAUAUGUAUUAGUUAUUUCUUCUACAAGCAUAGUAAGUACAAUGAAUAUGACAAUUUGCAUACCAGGGAAGGAUGAACUCUUGAAAACACUAUAAGACCAGCUUCAGAGGGUUUCAAUCCAUUGCCAAGAAGCACAAACUUUCCAGAAAGUUCAUCAUUUAACAUUCUCAAAGGAUUCAUCCAGAGCCACAGGAAAGGACUUUGCAAAUGCUACCCACUUCAACACCUAAAAAUGAAGAAUAUACCACUCCGAAUUAUUAAUAGAUUAAGUGCAAAACAAAUAGAUUCUAUCGAGCAUAUAUUCUGAAAUUAGCAUUCGAUAUUAAUGUUGAAAACCCAUGAUCAAUUUCACAUGGAUCAACAUCACUUAACUGCAUGCAGGAGCAUACAACCAAUCCAGUGAAAGAACGAAAAGUAAAAUAACAAAGAUACAAUUACCUCAUCAUAAUGGUUAACCUCAGUGUCCAGAUGUCGCAGUGAUGCUUAAGUAAAGAGACUUAAUAUCGACAUCUAAACUAUCAGCUGGAAUAACACUCUACAAACAAUGGUAGAAACAUAUGUGUAUCACAUUCAAGUUGAAAGAACCAAUCUAAUAUUAUACUAUCUAUCAAUAUUUCAUGAAGAAUAUUUCAAAUUUCAAGAAGAAAACUAAUAUUUUAAAGUCCUCUGAAAUUAAUUCGUGACUCAAGUUUAUAUCUAAGAAAAAACUAUCGUUACAAAUAAUAAUGAUAAAUAAUACUAAAACACAGUUGAAUGCAAUACGGCAUGAGGUUGAAAAUCGCAUAAUAGGGCAAAGCAUGCACUUAUAGGAUCUAAUGAAAAGUGCUUGGACAGAGCCAGUGAUAUCCUUAUGGUAAAUGUAUACUCACAAUUCUUUUUUAUAUUCCUGUCUCAAUGAAGUAAAUGUAGAUGCAUCAGCAAUCUAGUAGAAGCAUGAAUUACCAUCACUUACGGUUAACUCAUGUUGGAUUCGCCGUGGAUGUUUCGUAAGGUUUUCAAAUCUUCAUGUUCCAUGUAAGGCGUAUUAUUUAGAUGAGGCAACCACAACAAUAAAACAAAUAAAAGAAAGUAAAGAAAGAGAAAUAAAAUUUAUCUUUUACUUAAUAGAAUAAUUAUAAUGAAAAAGGUAAACUUACAAUUGUCGAUCUCCAUAAUAUUGCAAAUGCCACUAUGUAGCUCCCAAUGAACAUAGAUUCAUUAAUAAAAAAACAUAUAAAAAUCAAGAUUCAACUAUGGAAAAAAACAAAUAAAAACCCAGAUUCAUAUCAACCAAACCAGACAUAAAAGCAUGAACAUGAAAACCUGAAUGCAUAAACCACACCAGACAUAGACAUCCUCACCGUUAUCAUAUUCGAUAUUGUGAAAAGGAAUAAACUUGAAUUUCAUAAUAGAAUAGAAUGAACAUAAAGUACUACAGAGCAACAAAGUGAGAAUUUAGAGAGAAAACAGACCUCAAAAUAUAUCGGAUGAUUUCCGUCCUGGUUGAGUGGAAAGGGGUAAUCGGCAACAAAGUGAGAACAUAAAUGCAUGAAUAUCAGUAUGUUUAUAUUUGAAACAGAAAUAUAAAAAAAUAGAAAAUAAAAGAUACAGACUUGUCCAUCCUGUAUAAUAGCUUCAACAUUGAAAGACAACAAACAUAUGGACUGCUCUUCACAAAUUUUCGUCAAUCACGGACCUAGAUGAGAGAGAACGGAUGAAGCUUCAAGAUUUUUGGAUGAAAGGAAAUAUGAAAAUGAAAGUGAAAUGUAAAAGGAUGGAUAUGAAAGUACAGAUUCUUGAAAAAUAGAAUAGGGUUACCCGGAUAAAAGGGAUAUAUCUAGCGAGUAUUAUAUUUUGUUGGAUCAAUGUGUAAUGUGUAAGUACUAAUUGUUUGAAAAAUAGAAUAGGCGGUCUUUUGCUAUCACCACAUGUCAGUUUGGAGUGUUUGUAUUGGUGGGAGAGUUUGUAUUAGUUAGUUACCAUAAAGGGCAUAAUUUAGCCUAAUUAAAUAUUUAUUAUAAGAGUAGAUUUGGUAGUGUCUAUGCAUGUUAUAAUCUUAGUUUGAUAGUUUAAAUGGUAUUUUAAUUACUUUAAAAACUUAUUUUAUUGGCCAAAUAAGUUCUUUUAGUAAGAUUUUUUUUUUAGCAUUUUAACCUUUUCCAAACUUUCUUUAUAAGUAAAUCUCAUUAAUAGAGUAUAACGAGUACUCUUGUUCAUUUUAUCAUAAUGUCACCUCUUAUAUUAUGACAUUCUACAUCACUCAUAAAAAUUGCUAUAUACAUUUGAUUUAAGCUUUACCACAUGUCAAAAUCGAGUUGUUAGUUUGAUAUUAAACAACACUCUUUCCACCUCUCCCACAUCACCAUUAAACUGUAUGUUAUACAUUUUUAACCAAAUGCAUCAACAUGUUGUUAGUCAUAAUACUCCUUAAUUUUUGUAGUUUUCAUUUUCAAUCCUUUCCUAUAUUGAUUUAAGCUCUCCCAACUAGCAGGUUCAUUAGGCAUAGAUAUACCAAACCAUCCCUCCACAACCCUCUAUACACCUGAAGUAACAGAACUUUGGAAUGAGAGAUGUUUUACGCUCUCCUUCUAUUUGAAACAUAAAACACAUACCUUGUUCUUAUUACUUUGGAGAGUUCCUCUUUUAGCCAAUUGAGCCCUCGUAGGAAGUUUGUCCAGCAGAAACCUCCACCUAAACAUCUGAAUUUUAGACGGGAACUUUGCUCUCCAAACUCCUCUUAACAUAGCUUUCUGACCUCUCUCUAGUGAGCUAUCUAAAUUAAUCCAUGUAAUCAAUUUGUAACAUGACUUCAUAUAGAAGUUUUUAGAGCAUCCAAGGAUCCACAUGAAUACAUCCUCUAGGAACCAUUCCUAACAGAAUGAUAUGUAUCUCCUCCACCCACUUUACUAUUUAUGUUGAUAUUUGUACAGAUGAAUAUUCCAUACCCACUCCUCAUCAAUCUAACACUCUAUAUCUACCACACUACUAUUAGGUUUACUAGAUAAUAAGAACAGCUAAGCAAAAACAUCCAUCUGAGGUUGAUUACUAAACAACUUGCCCUUCUAAAAUGGUUUGCAACUACCAUCUCCAAUCCUGCAUGAGAUGUUACUUGAGAAGGGACACAUGUGAAACAUGAUUAAACACGUGUGAUGCAACAUCUGGUCUCUGAUAACAUACAAAUGGUAUUGCAGUUUUGAUUCAAAUUUAUUCUAUCCAAGAUUCACUCUACAAAGAAGAUCUAUAAUUCACAGAGAAUAAUUAAUUUGGAUGUACUGGUGCAUAAUAUGGAACACGAUGUUCCAACAUGUGGGCAAUGCAACAUCUGACCUUGGCCAAUAGGCCAUGAUGAAUGUUGUUAGUGUGAAAUUUCUUAUUGAGAUUCAAUCAUAUUUGUUGCUGAUUUUUCAGCAAUGUUCGUUUGAUUUGUUUGACAACUGUUGAAAAUCUAAUCAGAUUUAAAUGGAUAUUUAAAUUUGAAUUUAAAAUAUAACAAAUUAUAUAUUUUAGAGAUUUUUAUGGAGCAUAUCAAAUCCAACAAUAUUCAGCUAUUAUUCUUGACGAGUUAAAUGCAAAUAUUCAAUGAGAAAAAGCUCAUAAGACAUUUUUAUAUAAGGAGCAUCACUGCUCAUGUUUUGGUAUGAGUUUUAUGCGCUAGAUUAAGUUCUUAAUGCCUAGAGUUUGUGAGUAUGUUAUUUCUUGCAUUCCAUGCUAAUGCUAUCACUCACACCAUAAGGAUUAAUGUUGGAUCUAUUUGUGCACAUCACUCUCUAUUUCAAUAACUUGGCAUAAUUAUUGGUUUGUUUGAGUUGACUUGUAAAUUUUACAAUCAAUGGAGUUGUUAUUGAGGUUGAUCACUAAGGUUUAGUGAUUGAUAGAAAGUGAGAUGAGUUCUCAUAUUUAGGGGGAGUAUUAAAUAUGAAGUCACUAGGAUUAGGAAUAGGCAUUGAACAUAAUGGGGUUAAUGUAGGGGCGACAAAUGGGCAUGCCCGCCCCGCAAAAACCCGCAAAAAAACGGGGCGGGGCGGGGCAGUCAUAGUUGAGGAUGUGCGCCUAAAACUUAGGCCCGCCCCGCAAAAAAGUGAGGGUGAGACGGGGAAAGCCUGCGGGCACUGCACUCUUUAAGCCUAAAAAUGCUGCGGGGCAGUCAUAGUUGAGGAUGUGCGCCUAAAACUUAGGCCCGCCCCGCAAAAAAGUGAGGGUGAGACGGGGAAAGCCUGCGGGCACUGCACUCUUUAAGCCUAAAAAUGCAAAAAGUUAUAUAAAUGCACGUGCCCGCAAAAGCCCGCGAAAAAAAUAAGGCGGGGAGGGACGAACAUAUUAGAGGGUGAGGGCCUAAAUCCUUGGCCCGCCCCACACUAAAGUGCGGGCAAAAUGGGCAUGCCCAGCGGGUCGGACCCAUUUUUCCACCCCUAGGUUAAUGUUCAUAUAAGACUAAUUUUACUAAUUUGAAUUACUGAUUUUCCUUUAUUGGGUAGAGUUCCAUCCAAACUUAGGUCACUUUCAGUUGUCCCAACAUUGUGUCCAACAUUUGUGUCCUCAGGAACAAAAUUUCAAUUAUUAAGCAACUUCAACUAAACAUUCUUGUAUCUUUGCUUGAGUACUCCUGCCCAUAAUGCCUCUUUCUCGAUUAGUAUCCACCAUUUCCAUUUCCACACUAGGACCAUAUUAAAAGCCUCAAUACUUUUAACGCGUAAUCCUCCAUCCUCUUUUGAUUUGCAAAUGUUAGACCAACUGAACCGGUUGAUUCUCGUUCUUCGCUCUAAGCCACCCCACAAGAAGUUUCGUUGAUAUUUAGUUAUCUCUUGCAAUACUUUCAUUGGCGCUUUAUAGAAUUACAGGAAGUAAAUUGGGAUGUUAUUAAGGACUGAGUUCAACAUCACAACUCUCCCUCAUACGAUAUGUCUAUUCCCUUACAUGAUGACAACCUCCCUAACCCAUUUAUGCUUAGACUUUUGUCUGAGUAGGAUUUCAUUGUACCUAAGGUUCUUACAAAUAUUGUUUGAUUCCAUCAACUUUUUCCCGCAAAUUUUGUGUUGAUUACAUCAUUAUUAACUCCUAACAACUCAUCACAUUCUUUCCUAUUUUUAAGGGCUUCAUCCACCUUCAAGUUAAUUCACCCAAACAAUUUAUUCCACCACUUUAAUAUAUCUUUAAGCUUAUUCAUUAUCACCUUAAUCACAUAGGAACUUUUACCUGAUGCCUUGAAUGAUUUUCAAUUAUCUUUUACAAAUUGGAAAAAACCUCUAUGUAAGCGGAAAUAUUUAUUGAUCGAUUAUAUGAAAUUAGAACAUCAAUACUUACUUGUUGAAGUCAUGAUUCGAGAUCUCUAAAAGAUGAAUGACCAGAUCUUCCUCUGUAUCUCAUACUCCCGUUCAUAACUCUCAAUGGGGCAAGUUCUGGAGCCGUCAGUUAUGUUUUUGAUUCUUGUGAUUACAUAGGGGACCAAACAGUAUUGAAUCACGAAGAUUAUUAUAUCCUUCAUUGACAUAAAACUUUAUGUGGUUACAAAUACUACGGCCUUUGUCAACUAGUCAUCAACGUGGAGUGUGGCAAGAAAAUUGUAUGCCAAUGUGAUCCAACAACCCACUUCUAUUUUUUUGUCAGUCCUUAACAGUUUCUCUCAAAUGCAUUAAAGCCAAAGAAAUUGCAUGGUUUUAUAAACCAUAACGCCUCAACUCUAAUAUAGCGUCGACCACUGAAACAAUGGUCUUGACAACACCAAGCUUAAAAUCAUACCUCAUCUCCAAUAUGGUAUCGACCCCCGAUAUAUUGGUCUCGAAGAUGCCAAGCUCAAAAUUAUAACCAUGCCUCGAACUCUAACUAGUGUCGACCAUACGCACGGUAGUCCAAAUGACAUCGAGUUCCAAUUUUAACAAUUGAUAUAAAAAAAUAAUGACAAAUUAUAAUAACAAUAUUCAUUGUAAUAUCAAUUUCCCAAAAUAGAAAGUACUUGACAAUCCAUCACUUAAAGUUCCAAAACAAAAUACAACAUGAUAAGAAAAUGAAAUAAAGAACAAACUCCCACUAACCAAUUACAUCAAAAGAACUCAUAAUGACCAUGCUCUCAACAUGGUUUUUGAAAACAAUGGGCCUAAGUCCCUUAGUUAGGGGAUCAACUUGCAUAAAAUCAGUACCAAUCUACUCAACAACAAUGUCAUUUUUCUUUACGAGAUCUUUGAUUGUCAAAUACUUCAAUUCCAAAUGCUUAGAACCGCUAAAGGUUUUAUUAUUCUUAAAGUAGAACGUAGUUGUAUAAGCUUUAGUGGCUUAGCAAUGAAAUCAACAAUAUGAAGCCCAGUCACUAAAUUUCUCAACCAAACAGUAUGAGUGGUAACAACAUAACAAGUAACAAACUCUGCUUGCAUAGUAGAAGAGGUGACAAGAGUUUGCUUUUUACUCUUCCAUGAUAUAGCACCUCCAACCAACAUAAACAUGAAAGCAGAAGUAGAUUUCCUAUCAUCAACACACCCAACAAUAUCAGAGUCAGUAUACCUAAUUAUUUCCAAGUUUUCAACCAUCCUAAAAACAAGCAUAUACACUCUAGUUCUCUUCAAAUAUCUCAUCACUUUCUUAGUAGUAAUCCAAUGAUCAUUCCUAGGAUUGGAUUGGUAUUGUCCCAAGAUGCCAACUAUGAAAGCAAUGUCAAUCCUAUUGCAUACUUGAGUAUAUAUCAUGCUUCCCAAUGCACUGUCAAAGGAUUUUCCCCGUCAUUUCUGCCAGCUCGAUCUCAUUUUUAGUACAUUGAUCUUUACUGAACUUUUCACCUUUAGUAACCGGAAUAUCCCCUGGCUUACAAUUCUGCAUAUUGAACCUCUCAAGGACUCUAUCAAUAUAAGUCCUCUGGGACAAGUCAAGUACACCACGCGAUUCGUCCCUACGUAUUUCAAUUCCCAAUACAAAAGAUGUUUCACCAAGAUCUUUCAUAUCAAAGCUUGAUUAGCAUAAGUUUGAUCUCAUGAAGUAGACCAAGAUCACUACUGGCAAGCAAAAUAUCAUCAACAUAUAACACAAGAAAGAUGAAUUUUCUCCCACUGGGCUUAAGAUAGAUGCAUUGGUCAACUUUAUUUUCUUCGAAACCCAAGGAAGUCACCACAUCAUCAAAUUUCAAGUACCAUUAUCUAGAAGUCCGUUUCAAACGAUAAAUAGAUUUUAUCAAUUUACAAACCAAAUGCUCAUUACCACUUGACAAAAAACCCCCAGGUUGUUACACGUACACCUUCUCAUUAAUAUCACAAUUCAGAAAAGUAGUCUUAACAUCCAUCUGGUGCAACUCUAAGUCAAAAUGUGCUACAAGAGCUAUAAUGAUUCUAAAAGAGGCUGUGGUGGAAACAGGAGAAAAAGUUUUGUUAAAUCCAAUCCCCUCCUUUUGUGUGGAACCUUUAUCCACAAGGUUUGCCUCAAUUUUACCUUUUGAGUCCUUCUUUGCUUUGAAUAUCCACUUGUAGCCAAUCACCUUGCAGUUUCUUGGUAACUCCACAAGUUCCCAAACAUCAUGGAUUUCAUUUCAUAUUGAAUUGCAUUUGUCCACAUGAUAAAUUGAGAAUAAGUAAUAGAUUCUAGGUUAUUUUUAGGAUCAAUAAAAUCACCAACAUAAUAAGCAUCAUCACUAAGAUAAACUACAAAAUCAUCAGUGAUAUCAUGUUGCUUUUGUCUUACUGGCCUUCUAACAUGAAUUUUCUCAACUGGCUCAGCAGGUUGUACAACCUCAAUCAUAAUAAGAGGAUCAACUACAUUAUCAAUAAGUGGUUCAACCAUAUUUUCAAUUGGAAGUUCAGCCACAUUCUCAUUUGUAAUUAAACCUCCGCGAGUAGUGGAUGAGCUAGCAUUAUCAAAAUUAGGCAGUGGCAAAGUAACAAUGCCAGGCAUAACAUAAUCAAUAUUAUCAUAUAUAAUGGCAUGCUCAACAACAUCAAACUUAAGGAAUUUUUCUUGCUUGGACUCCACGAUUUUAUUACCUCUAUCAGGACAGAAGAACCUGUAUCCUUUAGCUCGGUCUGGAUAUCCAUGAAAAAACAACGACUAGUUUUGUGGUCAAGCUUUAUCUCAAAUGAAUUAUAUAUUUUAACCUCUGCUGGGCAACCCCAGACAUGGAGAUGGUCCAAACUGGAUUUUCUACCUGUCUAAAGCUCAAAAUGUGUUUUUUGGAACUAAUCUACUAGCAACUUUGUUUAGUAGAUAUAGAGAUGUUUUCAAAGUAUCACCCCACACAAAUUCUAGUAAAUUACACAUACUCAUCAUGCUUCUCAUCAUAUCCCUAAGGGUGCAGUUUCUCCUUUCGACUACACCGUUUUGUUCAGGAGUACUGUUAGAUACCCAAAAGUGCUUAUUUGAGCUAUCAAAUAUGGGCAUCUUUCACUCCGUUUCCUUGCUAAAGUGUUCGAAACCACCUUUGUUUUUGAUGAAUUGCAAUACAAUGAUAAACGAUCUCGAGUAAACUUUAAUUCCACUUCUUGUUACCCAAUUGGUCUCAAUGUCAGAUUUCGUCAUGUGUAAAGCUGCGGCAACUUCUUCAGACUUUGGCAUCUUUUCUAAACCGCUGAAGGGUAUUUGAUCCAGGAUAGGUAUCCCAAGCAGCUGGGAGAAUUCUUCUAACGUGGGUACCAACUGAUAAUCUGGGAAAGUGAGCAAUGAUGCUUAGGAUCGAAGAACUGGAAUAGGACUCUCAUCAUAUUUCUUCUUGAAACCAGUGGUAACCAGAUUGGGAGAUGACCAGUUUCUUGUUGAACUGAGCAUGAUCGGGGAGUUCUGACACCAAAUCCUUGAUUGAGGAGAGAUUGCUACAAGAUUGAUCCGGAUAGUCUUCCUGGAAGCCAUAACCUGUUCAAAGAGCAAAGCUAAAUUCCUAAGUCCUUGAAAUGGUUAGUAUGAUGAUGUUAUGAUGUUAUGAUGUUAUGAUGUUAUGCAAGCACAAGCAUGUCACACAACAAUUAUUCCUAGGUUUUAAGGCUUGCAUGAGUUCCAUAGGUAAGUACCCCUCCCACUGAAGUUUGGUUGGUUCACCUCUAGAAUAGUAACCGGGUUCUAGAAGGAUCUCCAGAUCAUCGCCUUUCUUUAGGUCCACUUCAGUGCAACACCAAGUGGUUGACCGAAGCUUCCCUAAAGUCCAAUCUCAAAGAGUGUAGUAUCGAGUAUCAACCAACCUCAAUCGGAACCGAAGUCAGUUAUCUCACUACUUUCUAAUGGCUAGGAUAAGUCAAUUAGGGUUCUAAAGGUCUGGUUAAUGCUUUGAUGACACCACGCGGAAGCCAAAUUUUUCCUCAAGUAACAUGAGGAACAUCAGGACAACCAAAGUGUCACAUUAACCGUAGCUAUCAUUUUAACCAUUCCAGUAUACGCCGGAUAGUCGCGAUGAUCUAUUGCUACUUACCUAAGGUACACUAGAUCGGGUGUAGGAUCUUUCACUCAACAAUACCCUUAAAAGAAGGAACAAUCCAAAAACAUAAAUGAUUUUUUCAAAGAUGGACCUCUCUUUAAGUCCCCAGCAGAGUCGCCAGUUCUGUCAUACGGUGAACUGGACUUUAUUGGAUUUGUAAUCGCAAUGUCGCGGUUAGCAAGAGUCGCCACCGACUUUUCUUUUAUCCCUUAAGGAAAGGUGGAAAAGAACAGGAAAGACCUUAAUUUUAAAUUCUUAGGUUCGGGAGGUACUUUAUACAAAGGGAAGGUAUAGCACCCUUUGUACCAUGGUUAUCAUGGGCUCUUAAUUGCUCAAUCAUUUAUGUUUUCUAGUUUGAAAAAGGUGGUUGAGAACUGUGUGAAAAAUGUUUUGAAAAUGAGAAUUUAACUUUGUAAUGAUUCUUGCAUGAAUGUAUAUCAAAGUGGUUAUCUCGUUUGGUUUCUCGAAGUAGUUUAGAAAAAUAUAACUCGGCAAGAUCCUAGUUGGAUGUAUGCUAAGUGGUGAUUUUCCAAAAGAUAUUUGAAAGGUGUGGGGUGUGAAAAGCAUUUUUCUAUUAUGAACGAGCAAUUAAGGUUAUACCUGUCCGAGGUCUUUCUGGGCAUUUCCCAUCCUUAUGAGGGUAAAACUGUCCUUACUAUUGAGAAGUAAGUAGUUUUAUCCUGGGGGAUGUAUAAGGGUCAUCGUAGGGUCAUCGAUAGGUCAUUGAAGCAACAAUUGUGAGGUGCCUUAGCAUUCGAAGGGACUAUCAUCAUUUAACCGUAGGCUACACCGAAGGGUCAUCGAGGGACAAAAUCGUAUGUUCGAAGGCAACAUCCGAGGACUAUGAUGAUUUUACCGAAGGGUCUUUGCUAAGGAUAUCCCCAUAUUCGCGGGACAUGACCGCAUUAUGUAAUCGUGGGGUAAUAAAAGAGGGUCCGAUGUCAUUUAUUUAAAGUCCAUGUUUAAGUCCAUUAGGUAAUUAUGGUGAUACCGCAUCAGAUCGAUACAUUAAAGUAAACAUUACAUUGAAAAUUAAUAUAGUAAAAUUAAUUAGGCAAUCAAUAUGAAUCUUCACGUUAACGUGAAAUAAUUUAAAAUCCCUCUCCAUGAAGGCUUCCCACGCGUAAACAGAGUACCUAGCCGGCUAUUUUUUCGGAAGUAUGCUAGCCUUUACACCAUGAACACACGGAUUAAAGCAUAAAAUACAAUUGGAAAUUGCAUCAUAAGAUAAAUAUAGCAGCCCAGAAUUUAGGCCAAAUAAUGCAAUCAUCAUUGGUAAACAUAAAUAGCAGCAAAAGCAAAGCAGCCCCUGGCCCGGUCGCCUCUGCUUCGCCUAGCGAAGGCUCGCUGCGGGCUCGCCUAGCGAUGAGCUAGCGAGCGCGCCACGGUUUGACAUUUGAGAACAUUAUAACUUCAACCUGCAGCAUGGCUUAUGGCAUCCAACAUAUGAUUAUACGGUUCAGUUUCACAAUAGGCAAAUACAUUUAAAUUCUCAUGCAAGACUCUAAAAUGUUUAUGAAUUCAAUUAUAAUCCACAAAUUAAGAACAUGAAGUGGUACCAUAUGCCAGGUGAAAAUACACAACGAUAUCACAUGCAAAUUAAGAUACUAAAGUGAUACCACAUGCAAAAUAAAGACACCAAAUGAUAAUCAUAUGCCAAUUAAGAAGCUAAAGCGAAUAAUAGUGAGGCUAACCUGUUCGCAAAUCAAGUUGUAACCUUGAAUUGGCGAGCCGGAUUGAGUUGGACGGCGGUAGCUUCGGAGCGAGUAAGCGGCCUUCAGGGUUUCCGCCUUCUGAAUUCUUUGGAUCAGCAGGGUUUCUGUGUUUCCCCUCUGGAUGCGUGUUUCCGUCCGUCUUCGUCCGUCUGUGGUGUGUUUUUCGUGGCAGAGAAGUAGGUAUUUAUAGUAGAGGUAGUGGUGACCUAAUGGGCUUAAAAGAGGUCCAAAAAUCUCAAACUUCGCAAGCUUCGCUAGGCGAAGGAAUUGCUCGCCUAACGAGCAAACUAGGUCUGGGCUUUUUCCUGGAUCCAAUGCUUCGCUGGGCGAGGGACAUGAUGAAAUGUUCGCUAGGCGAAGGAGCUACUCGCCUAGCGAGCCAGAUGUUUGGGCCGCCUGUGGAUUGGGCCUUAUGUGAGUGGGCUUUUGUCCAUUUGAUACCGGUGCCUUGCAGAACAAGUCAGAGGGUCUUGGAAAAUGUUUGGUAAUGCCAACGGGCAAAUUUUGGGUAUGACAGCUGGGUUCUCGCUGGGCGCUCGCCUAGCGAGCCCUCGCCUAGUGAGCAAGCUGAUGAAUGCAUCUUUUCUUUGGUCCCUUUUGCCAACUUUCUUGUGGCUUCAUUUCUAUUAUUUCAUGCCUAAUUCCUGCACAAUAACACACAAAUCAAAGGUACGCAAGAUNNNNNNNNNNNNNNNNNNNNNNNNNNNNNNNNNNNNNNNNNNNNNNNNNNNNNNNNNNNNNNNNNNNNNNNNNNNNNNNNNNNNNNNNNNNNNNNNNNNNUUUAAAUUCCGCUGCAUUUUGGGUCGCUCUUCUCCUUCACAUCAGGGAACACAAGUGCUUGUACUCUCCCUCAAGUCCAUGCAACUUCCCAGAACACAACAGCUCCCCCUUAAGCCAGUCCAUAACAAGCAACAACCACACUGCUUCACACAAACAGAACACAGAGAAUUCUCCCCCUGUACCAAACAAAUAAACACCCGAAUUCUCCCCCUGUAUCAGACAAGCAGAGCAACAACAAUACUACAAAGCUAAGCUGAGAUACUCAGCUACAUCUACAGCUACUUCUCCCCCUUUUUAGCCAAAAAAGACCAAAGAGACAAAAUAAAUGUCUAUCUAGUCAUUAACAGAAAUACCAGAAGUUAAAGAGUUACAUCACCAAGUACAUACACAGCUGUAAGAAAGCUGAGAAACAAACCAAAAAACACACAAAGAAAUCCACCAAAAAACCAAGAAAACCAUCAAAAUAAGAGGGACCAAAGCCAACAGAGCUACUCAGUAGAGCUUGAGUUUGCAGCCUCUUCAGCAGCACCAGAAGCAGAAUUGCCACUCGCAUCAUCAUUGAGUAGACCUCUCACUAGAGGUGUGGGCUUCAGCUUCUUCUUCAUGGAUGACAUUAGCAUGUUCAACAUUUUCACCCUCAGACUGCUCCAAGAUUUCAAUCAAGGCUUCCAAAGAUUGUUUUCUAGUUGUGGCUACCCUAAUCCCUUCACCUAGAUCUUUGCAUGUCUCCUUAAGCUCAGCAAUUGCUCCAACUUUUGAGACUGACCUCCUCAUGGCAGAUGUCAUGACAAUAUCCUCGACAUGACUGCCUUCAAAGAGUUUGUAGUGCACAGACAGAGCUGUCCAACUUUUGAGACUGACCUCCUCAUGGCAGAUGUCAUGACAAUAUCCUCGACAUGACUGCCUUCAAAGAGUUUGUAGUGCACAGACAGAGCUGGUUUUCUCCUACUAGGUAAAUCAUUUGAGCACAGAAUACCAGGAUGUAGGUUCAAGAUAAUUCCACAGAUCAUAGAGGGAAAAGCAAUUGGCAGCUUAACUGCAUUAGUAGUUGCAUGCAUGAUGGUUUGAUCAAACAUAAAUCUACCACGGUCAAAUUUCACUUUUGUCCCAACAGUAAAAAUAAACCUCCCAAGAGUAUUAGCAAUGGUGGAGACAUGGUUGAUAGGGACCCAGUUAGCAACUCCUAUUUUAUGGAGGAUAACAUACUUGAUAGUCAACUUCCCAGCAGGAAGAUGCUUUUUAAAAGGCCAAACUUUCACCUAUUUAGCUGUAAUCUCCCUACAAACCUGAUUGUCUGUAACCUCUAAUUCUCCUGCACCCUCAUUAUUUCUGCCUAGAAAAUUAUUAAUAACAGUAGGAGAGAAUGUUAUACACUUACCCCUCACAUACACCUUGCAGAACUCCUUGCUAUUCUUAUCAUAAAUAUCCUCAGGAAUAUUAACAAUAAAUUCCUUGACUAAACCUUUGUAGCAUUGAGAGAACCCAGCAACAGUCUUCAAAAGCCCAGUAGCUUGUAUCAGGUCCAUGACCUCCUUGACAUCAGCAACAUCUUUUCCCAAUUCCCUUUCCACAGCUACCCUUCUCUGAAUCAUAAAUUUCCACUUAGCAGCUUCAUCCUCAAGAUGGAAGGAGAUGUUAUCCAAAUGAACAACAAGUACUUUAACAGGAGACUUCCUAACAAUAGUUUUCUUCGUAGGCGAGAUGUCAGGGACAUCUUCCUCAACAUCCUUUUUAGGCUCAGAAUCAUCUCCGGCCUUCCUCUUCUUUAUUUCAACCUUGCUCCAUGGUUUGGAGGGACCAAUGACAACAGUCUUCUUAGCUUUUCUAGCUGACAUAAGUUCAGCCACAGAUUUUCCUUUGCGAGUCUUCAUGCGUUUAGCCACACUUGGCUUUAUGUGAUGAAUCAAGCUUUCCUCUUGAUCAUCAGAGCUACCAUCCUCUAGAUCAAUCACAACAUUUGUAUCAUCAUGCUUCUCAGAGUGGGAAGCAUUAGCCAUGUUAGAGGCCACAGAUUUCCCUUUGUCAGACACGGUUUUCCAUAGAGAGUGCAGCCCUUCAGCAGCCAAGUCCUUUUCAGAACUGGAGGAAUCAUCACCCUUACCACUAGGUUGUUCAACCUCAGGAGGAGGAUACAUUUGAGCAAGGGGAGUAGAAACCCCCUUCACAAAGUGGCCUUCAUUAAGAAUUCUAGUAACUAUGUCUCUUAUAACACGAUCAGUAUAGUGUGUUCCUUCCUUAGAAUUAGUGACAGGAGUUGAACCAGACGAAAUACUAGAGGGAUUACCUUGAUUGGAACAUGCAGAAGCGGAGGCAUCAAUGGAUAUGGAUGGGUUCAAAUCAAUGUCCGCGGUGGGAAUAACAGAGAGAGGAGCAACAUCCAAAAUCUCAUCAUCAGGGACGCCCAUGGGAGGAACACUAACUUUUGGAGUAGACUUAGUAUUUUUAGAAGCAGAUGUAUCUUGAUGUUGUGACAUUUUGGAGUUUUUCUGGAAAAAGUAAGGUUGCCCUAGCAGAGGUUUGUGGAGAAGGAAAAGGGAGAUGGAAUAGUUGGAGUAGGUAAUGGGGUUAUGAGGGUAGCGUGUGAAGAUGGAAUAGAUGGUAUUUCCAAUACAAGGUAAUGAUUUACCAUAAUGGGGGCACUUUAAUUUAGGAAAAUAGACUAUAAUUUGAUUAUUUUUUCCACUCCAUAUUAAUUGCUACAAAUUUUCAUAAAUGCAAAUCCCUAAUUUUCCUCUCAGGAAUUCAAAUUGAUUUGCAUCCAAGGCCUUUGUAAAAAUAUCAUCUAACUGCAUCUCAGUAGCAACAUGCUUUAAGGCUACAAUCUUAUCCUCCACAAGUUCUCUAAUAAAAUGGUGACGGAUAUCAAUAUGUUUGGUCCUGCUGUGCUGAAUAGGGUUCUUUGAGAUGUUUAUAGCACUCUGGUUGUCAUAGUACAAUGUCAUGACAUCUUGUGUGACAUUGUAUUCAGUCAACAUUUGUUUCAUCCACACCAGUUGAGAACAACUACUUCCAGCUGCUAUGUAUUCAGCUUCAGCAGUAGACAGAGAAACACAAUUUUUCUUCUUACUAAACCAUGAUAUUAGAUUGUUCCCCAAGAAGAAACAUCCUCCUAAUGUGUUUUUCCUAUCAUCAGCACUUCCAGCCCAAUCAGCAUCACAAUAGCCAGACAACACAGAAUCAGAUCCAUGAGUGUAUAGCAUCCCAUAGUCACAAGUUCCAUUGACAUAUUUCAGGAUCCUUUUCACUUGGUUUAUAUGGCUCACUUUUGGUUUAGCUUGAUAUCUAGCAUAUACACCUACAGCAAAAGCAAUGUCAGGUCUGCUUUCUAUAAGAUAUAGCAGACUCCCUAUCAUGCUUCUGUAGAGACUUUGAUCCACACUGACAUCAUUUUCAUCUUUAGACAACUUCAGAUGAGUAGGAGAAAGUGUCCUCUUGUGGCUUGUAUUCUCCAUGCCAAACUUCUUAACAAUAUUCUUGGCAUAUUUAGUUUGAGAUAGAAAGAUAGAUUCUUCCAUCUGCUUGACUUGCAGGCCAAGAAAAUAAGUUAGUUCUCCAACAAGACUCAUUUCAAAUUUAGACUGCAUUUGUUCAACAAAAUGUUGAACCAUCUUACUUGACAUCCCACCAAACAUAAUAUCAUCCAUAUAGAUCUGAGAAAUCAUGAGCUUUCCUCCUUCAUCUUUGACAAAUAAAGUCUUAUUAAUGUCUCCCUUUCUGUAUCCAUUGUCAAUGAGAAACACUGUGAGUCUCUCAUACCAAGCUCUAGGAUCUUGUUUCAACCCAUAAAGAGCUUUCCUCAACUUAUACACAUGCUUUGGAAGAUUUGGAUCUGUGAAUCUAAUCCCUUUGGUUGUUCAACAUAUACUUCCUCAUUCAAGUAGCCAUUUAAGAAGGCACUUUUCACAUCCAUUUGGAACAGUUUAAACUUCAGAAUACAUGCCACUCCUAGCAAUAAUCUAAUGGACUCCAGACGAGCUACAAGUGCAAAUGUUUCAUCAAAGUCAACUCCUUCAACUUGAGUGUAUCUUUGAGCUACUAAUCUUGCUUUAUUCCUAGUAACCACACCUUUUUCAUCAGAUUUAUUCUUGUAUACCCACUUUGUUCCAAUAACAUUUAUUCCUUCAGGUCUUGGAACUAAAUCCCAUACUUCAUUUCUCUUGAAUUGGCCUAACUCUUCCUGCAUGGCAUUGAUCCAGAAUUCAUCAGUUAAAGCUUCUUUAACAUUCUUAGGCUCAAUCUUUGACAGAAAACAGGCAUGUGAGUUCACUUCCCUUGAUCUAGUGGUGACUCCUUUAUUUAGAUCUCCUAUAAUGAGAUCUUUAGGAUGAUCCUUCUGAAUUCUGAUAGAGGGUCCCUUGUUUACUUGAUCAGCUUCAGGUUCAGCCUGGGUUUGGUGACUCCUUUAUUUAGAUCUCCUAUAAUGAGAUCUUUAGGAUGAUCCUUCUGAAUUCUGAUAGAGGGUCCCUUGUUUACUUGAUCAGCUUCAGGUUCAGCCUGGGUGGACUCACUCUCACUACUCUUAUCAGAAGGUUCAGUUGGGGCAUCAUUCAGAAAUGUCUCAACAUCGUCUGUGACAUCAGUCUCUUGAUCAUCAACAACAACAUUGAUAGAUUCCAUCAUAACUUUAGUUAUGGAAUUAAAGACUCUAAAGGCUCUGCUGUUUGUUGAGUAGCCCAGGAAUAUUCCUUCAUCACUCUUGGGGUCCAUUUUCCUUCUUUGUUCACGAUCAGCCAGGAUAUAACAUUUACUACCAAACACAUGGAAGUAUUUGACAGUAGGUCUUCUUCCCUUCUAGACUUCCUAUAAAGUGGUCGAGGUCCCUUUUCUCAAGGUUACUUUGUUGUGAACAUAACAAGCGGUGUUCAUAGCUUUAGCCCAAAAGUGGUAAGGCAACUUCUUAGCAUGAAUCAUAGCUCUAGCAGAUUCUUGGAGAGUUCUAUUUUUCCUUUCCACCCCACCAUUUUGCUGAGGGGUAAUGGGAGAAGAGAACUCAUGUCCAAUCCCUUCAGAUGAACAAAAAUCAGCAAAUUUACUGUUUUCAAAUUCUUUCCCAUGAUCACUUCUGAUUCUGAUAAUAUGACUCUCUCUUUCUCUUUGUAGUCUUCGGCAAAGGUCUUUGAACACAUCAGAUUUUUCCCUUAUAAAAGUCACCCAGGUAUAUCUGGAGAAGUCAUCCACCACAAUAUAAGCAUACCUUUUUCCACCAAGACUUUCUACCUGCAUAGGCCCCAUCAAGUCCAUGUGGAGAAGUUCCGGAACUUUAGAUGUGGUGUCAUGUUUGAUCUUCUGAUGUGACAUCUUUGUCUGCUUUCCAAUCUGACAUUCACCACAUACUCUUCCUUCUUCAAUCUUUAAUUUUGGGAUUCCUCUGACAGCUUCAACAGUCAUGUUUGAUCUUCUGAUGUGACAUCUUUGUCUGCUUUCCAAUCUGACAUUCACCACAUACUCUUCCUUCUUCAAUCUUUAAUUUUGGGAUUCCUCUGACAGCUUCAACAGAUAUGAUCCUCUUCAUCCCUUUAAGAUGCAGAUGACCCAGUUUUUGAUGUCAUAGUUUCACUUCUUCUUCUUUAGCUAGAGCAUAUAUUGAUGAAUAGCUAGUUUCUUGAGGAAUCCACAUGUAGCAGUUGCCCUUAGGUCUGACUCCUCUCAUGAUCACUUCAUUUUUUGCAAUAGUAACCAAGCAUUCAGUUUUUGUGAAGUUCACAUUGAGACCUUGAUCACAUAGUUGACUGAUGUUGAUUAGGUUUGCAGUCAAUCCUUUAACAAGCAACACAUUAUCUAGGUUAGGAACUCAAUAGCAGUUUAGCUUUCCAAUCCCCUUGAUUUCACCCUUUUCUCCAUCACCAAAAGUUACAUAGCUGGUGACAUGAGAUUGGAGGUCAACCAGCAGAUUUUUGCUUCCAGUCAUGUGUCUGGAGCAUCCAUUAUCGAAGUACCAAUCUUCUUUGGUUGAGACUCUGAAGGAAGUGUGAGCUAUCAAGUUAGUAGCACCAACCCUAGGAACCCACUGUUUUCUGUUAGACGAGAUGUGUUGUUUGGGUCUAGGUUGAUGAGUAGGACUGGGAUAACCAUACAGCCUAAAUCAUAAUGGUUUUAUGUGACCAAAUUUCCCAUAGUAAUGACAUUUCCAUCUUUGGUAUUUUCCUUUUGAGUGCUUAUGUUUUCUUCUCUUGUGAUGUUGAGACACCUGAUGUGACAUCUUUGGUUUGCUAUCAGAGAGACUACAAUCAGGAGAAGAUUCAUUGAACCCAAGGCUAGUCAUGUCUCUUGCCAUCUUUCCAGCCUGGAGGAUUUUGUCUAAGGUGUCAGAUCCACUAUUUAGCAUUCUAAUAGACUUAGUCAUCUCAUCCAGUUUGGAAUUCGGGAACAAGGCUUCAAUCUUCAAAUUAGAAAUGGUUUCUAAGUGUUAUGUAUUCUCAGCCUCUAGUUGGGUUAUCAGUUUCUUAUGAUUCUCCACUUGUUGACACACUUCUUCAUUCUGAAACACAACUUCCUGUAAGAAGUAGCUAAUUCAUCAAAGGUUAAUUCAUCAUCACUGGAAUCUUCAUCAGGAUCACAUCUCUCAGUCAAGGCAAUCACAAGAUUGGCAGAUUCCCCUUCUGUUUCACUUUCAGAGUCAUCACCAGACCAAGUAGCAGCAAGACUUUUCUUCUGUUUCUUGAGAUAGGUCUCACAUUCAGCUCUAAUGUGACCAUACCCUUCACAUUCAUGGCACUGAAUUCCUUUGCCCUGUUUGGAUUUUUCUUCAGAUCUUGUUCUUCUUCCAGCAUCAUUGGACCUACUGAUGUCAAAUGAGUUGUUCUUGACAUUAGACUUUGACCUCACAUCCAUCCUCUUUAGGAUUUUGUUGAAUUGUCUUCCAGUAACACCAAGUCAUUUGACAUCCUUCAUCAAUAUCCUGACUACUUUCUUCCUUUUUAUAUUCAGUGUUGGACCACAAGGUUAUGCUUUUGACUUCUUUCAUAUCCAUCACUCAUUCCCAACUCGAAUGUUUGGAGGGAUCCAAUUAGCUCAUCCACUCUCAUCUUGCAUAUAUCUUGAAAUUCUUCUAUGGCUGUCACUUUCAUGGAAAAUCUUUUGGGAAGUGACCUGAGAAUUUUCCUCACAAGCUUUUCAUCUGACAUCUUCUUACCCAGGGCACCUGAGGAAUUAGAAAUCUCAAGAAUAUUCAUAUGGAAAUCAUGAAUACUCUCAUCUUCUUUCAUCCUCAAAUUUUCAAACUUGGUAGUAAGCAGCUGCAAUCUAGACAUCAUCACUCUAGAGGUACCUUCAUGAGUGGUUUUGAGAAUAUCCCAAGCAUCUUUAGCCACCUCACAAUUGUUCACCAGUCUUAAGAUGUUCUUAUCAAUCCCAUUGAAUAUAGCAUUCAAUGCUUUAGAGUUUCCAAGAGCUAGUUCAUCCUCCUCCUUGGUCCAUUCUUCCUCAGGCUUCUUAUCAGUUGUAACUUUUCCAUCCUCAGUAAUGAAAGGAUGUUCCCAGCCUGUUAGAACAGCUUUCCAAGUCUUAUUGUCCAAGGAUUUCAAGAAGGCUACCAUCCGAGGUUUCCAGUAAUCAUAGUUAGAUCCAUCCAAAAUUGGUGGUCUGUUUACAGAUCCUCCGUCUUUGUCCAUAGUACCAGAAAGUAACGUCCCAAGAUCUCACCCAGAACCAGAGCAGGAUGCCUGCUCUGAUACCAAUUGAAAUUCUGGUAUCAUAUAUGAGAUGUCGAAAGUAAUGUCAUGACACUAAUAUCUGAAUAACAAGUGAAAUAUGAACAGAAUAAAAACCAUGAAACAAUUGGAAAACGACACAAGCAAUUGUUAACCCGGUUCGGUGCAAACACACCUACGUCUGGGGGCUACCAAGCCAGGAAGGAAAUACACUAAACAUAAUUAGUUCAAAGACUCUCAGCAAACAACUUCAAUUUACAGUCUUUUCACCUAAUCUCUACCCGUGUGAUUUCUAUCUAAGAACUCUUAGACAUGAGACCCUACUCACUCCCCCUCAAUCACAGCAGUGAUACUAGAACAAAUACCAAAAAGAAAGAAGACACACUUCAAGGACACACACUUAAUCUUGCUUAAAAGCUUCAAUCAAGUAAACAAAUACACUCGUACUUCACAGCUUAGAGUGAACAAAUUACAACUCAAAAACUCAGUCCAAUUCACACAUCAACAAGAUGGAUGAAUGGCUCACAAUUCACAAACUCACACAAGACUAAAACCAUAAUCCUCACUCACUUCACGUUCAUAUUUUCUAUCUGUAAAACAGGGUUUACAUAGUCUUUAAAUAAAAGCUUUCUAAAUAGGCAUGGGCAACAUGAAACCUUAAUUCUAUUUAUUGCAUAUUCCCUAAGAAAUAGCAGCGAAUCAUUCCUUUUUGGGAAACAAAAUAUUCUGGCUUUAAAUAGAAUUACUCCUUGAAUAAUGCAUGCAAUCUCCACAUAAGCACACAAAGACUGGCAUGAAAAGCGCAACAACAAAAUACAUAACAUUUAGAUUGAAUGUUUUAUAUGCACAUGUCAUAACAUCGGGUCUGACAUCUUGAAUAAAUCUUGCACAGCCAUAUUAAACAACCUGCAGAAGGCUGAUAUCACAUGUCAAGACUACAAGCAUGAAAUCUGGUGAUAACACUAAGUUUUACCAAAAUUGAUGCCAAUUCAUAGAACCAACACAACCGAAUCCAUCAACGUGGUGUUGCACUCGAUAACAAUUACAUUUGACAUGUUUUCUUGGUCCUUCAACAUAAUCUUGAACAUCUCCAAAGCUCGUGUAACAUUGUCCUCUUUUAUGGAUUCUAAAAAAGAAAAACCCACUUAAAAAGUCUUCUCAGUAGAAGUAACACCAACAAUUUCCAAAAGUGGAAGCUUGUACUUAUUGGUCAUAUAUGUUGGAUCAAUUAUGAGGACACUGGGAAAUAUGUUAAACAACUUGGUAGAAUCGGAAUGAGACUAAAAUAUAUCUCGAACAAUGACUUUAUCCUCAUAAACUUUGUACCUAGAAACAUAGUUUCAUCAUCCAAAAGCUUCAAGAGUUAUUGUAUUUCAGAUCUUAGACCUCUUACCACCUUGUUGUUUCUGGCACACAAAUUAUAUACUUGCUUGAUAUCUGAAACAUUUUGAAGUCUUUUCAGUUUCAAAGUUUCAAGUAUGCUUUUCGGCGACACCAUGUUUAAUGUCAUGUUCGAAACAAGUUUAUUCUCCUCUUGAAUAAAGCGACAUACAAUGGGAUAAUCUGAUAUCUUGUGACACAAGGCAUGAUUAUGUAUACUGGAAACCACAUUAAAUUUCCAUGUAGCAUUGGCCAUACAAUAUCCUUGCAAUUUAAACAAACACUCAAGUUUUCUCAAUCUGGUGUCAUCAUGUUUUAUCUUCUAAUCGAUGGUUGGUACGUGCCAAUUCUUUCGCAUUUAAUUGUUACAAAUUCUUGUAUUCUAUCAUAAUCAUUGUUAGGUAUUCCUAAUACAUUUCUAAACCCCGAUUUCCCGACCUUCAUGCGGACCCAUUGUAGCAUAUGUUCACGAACAAUAAACUUUUGUUUAUUUGUAAAUUAUUCAUGAACGUCUACCUCGACAACAACCAGUCUAGCAUUCGGUUUAACAUCAUCCUUCACUUCAUUUGGUUUAACAUCCAUCAUCAUAGUAGCUCUGGAAAACAUAUUCGGGUGCACCAUAUAUAACACCAAUCAUAACAAAAAAACAUAUUCAAAACUCAAAGUAUCAAGCAAAUCCAGAGAUGCAUCUUCGGGACACAUGAAACUUAGUCUGGGUAUUCAUCUUUGUACUCAACAUUCUUUUUAUUAGCUCAAAAAUCAGGUUAAUGCAAGAAAUGAGGGAUGAAAUGGUGAACUUUACCUUAAAUUUCAGGUUCUUUUGCUCCUUUUGAUGUGAUAAAAUAUAACAAUGGUGUUUUGGUAUCGAAAAAUUGAUUGAGAAUGGAAGAAUUUUUUCAGGUUUUUAAGUGUGAAUUAGAAUUUGAUCAUAGGGAAUAAGAACAUGAAAAGUGAUGUUUUAUUCAAUUUGCCACUAGAUAUUUUUGUUUAUGCAUAUUCAAAAUUAUUAUUGAGUCGUUACACAAAUCAGCUCAGAGAAUACAAACACCAUAAAUGAGUACAAAGGGUUUUACGGAGAUGCAUCUCAGAAUUCACCCUAAAAUAUAUAGAGAUGCAUCUCCAGAAUAGAUUUUGAAAAAAAUGGGUGGUUUGCUGAAAUACGAGGACUGGUGUGAUAUAAGGUGCAUCCAGACAUGCAUCUCGGGACACCAAUAAGGUAUUUUUUGGUUUUUAGGGUACAGGCGCAUCCUAUGGGGUGGGAUAAGUAUUUCCCUUUUUUUGGAGAUAAAUAUAUUGAGUGACUUACCAAACUCUUUAAAAAAUUAUGAGGUUAAAGCACUUGUAGGAUGAAUGGAGAAUAAGCACUUUAGUUUCAAUCUAUAAGAACAAUGAGAUAUAUAAAAUUAUGCUAAUUAUAGGAAGAUUAAACUUAUGAUUUAUACCUUGAAGUUAUGGGAAAGAGUGAUUGAGCGGAGAUUAAGAAAAGAAACUCAAGUCAUUAAGAAUCAAUUUGUUUUUAUACUUGGAAGGUCGACCAUGGAAGCGAUCAAUCUAUUACGGUGUGUGAUGGAGCAGUAUCGGAUUGACCAACUAGACUUGUACUUAAUUUUUAUUGACUUGUAGAAGACAUGUGAUAGAGUGCCUAGAAAUUUUUUGUAGAAAGUCAUAGAAAAGAAAGAGGUUAUGAUUGCAUAUAUUUGAACUGUCUAAGAUAUAUAUGAAUGGGUAUCGACUAGUAUGCACGACAUUCCUUCGUAUAAUAAAAACCAUCAAUAAUUGAACCAAUAACGCUCUUUUAAACAAUUCUUCUUUCAAUGUAAAUAAUCAAAUAGACAGGUUGAACAUUAUCUUCCAUUUUUUUUUUAACUAUUUUUCACAAUAUUCAUACAAAUAUAUAAUCUCACUUAUAUUAGUUGAAAUUGGAAGAGUAAAUGUCAAACGAAUUAAAUAAUAAACUAAAGGAUAAGUAAAAAUUUCCUUGUUUGCACCAAACCGUGGCAGAUCUAAGAAUCUUUGUUAGAUUUAUUAAUUAAUGAUGAAAAGGAGCGUCGAGUUCAUAAUGUUGAUAUGUAUUUUAAAAUGCAACUUCUCUUGUUGGAUAAAAUUAUCAUAAUGAAAUAUCAUUUUCAACCCACAAAUUUUAUUCACAUUGUGUGACUUGUAAUGAUCUUUUGGUUCUUAAGAUGUGCCCAAAGUAAGCAAUUCCACCAUAUUAUCAAAAAAGCCUACUAUUAAGCCAUUGCAAUUAAGUGUCAGUUGUAGUAAUAAACAAAUCAAUUCGAUGAUAAUGCUCAAAUGUAAUACUUGGACGAGUUUGACUUCUUUUUGAAACAUAUAAGACAUUCAUAUCAUGAGCCUAUAUAUUGUGCUUUUUGCAAAAUGAUGAAAUUUCCUAUGAAAAACGUUCCCACUUAUUCGGUUCAUACUUUUAGUAGUGAAAAUCAAAGACAUUAUGGAACACCUUAGCCCGAAAUUUAUAAAUAAAAGAUUACUCGAUAAUUUAAGGUGUCACUAACGAUAUAUAGAUAUUUUGAAUAAUAUGUAGAUAUUUUAAAAAUACGCAGCGGAAAAUUAAACAACAUACAUCAUUUGUCAUCGCAUAUUUACCUUCAUUUAGGGUAUUAUCGCAACGGAAUCACAAUAUUGUAGUAAUAAAAUAUAUCAACUCAAAUUGGAUCUUAUAAAGACUUAAUUUUUCACAAAUGGUGUUCAAAAGGAUUUCAAUAUCUAUUUUCAACAACUUCAAGCAAUUCAAUAUAAUAAUUAUCAAACUUCAAAAAUACAAAUAAGUUUACAUCAACCAUAAUAAAGAAAACAUUGUUCGCGCCUCCAGUGUUACAGAAUCAGAGCAUAGCGACUAAAGAUGAAAAAACGAUAACUAAUGAAAAUAACUCCAAGAGCUAUUUUCCACUCACAACAGCAACUCUACUCAUGAGUAUCUGCAAGAUGUCCAUGGUGGACAACAUCAAAUCAAAGAGGGUGAGAAUUCACAUCAAUAAAUUAACGGUGUAGAAUGCAAGAUACAAUUCAAACAUCCACGCAUUCAACAACAAUCACACAACAUCCUUGUCAAACCAAUUUGUCAACAUACACAAUAAUCGCAUAUUCAUCAUUUAAUUUAUGCAAUGAAACUCACAACUUCGACCAGACUCAUAUGCAUGUGGUAUCAGGUCAUCAUCAAUUGGUUCACUCAUGGACUGGGUUCGAACCCUGAAUCCACCAUGCUCAUAUUCGGGACAAGUCACCAAUCCAUCCUACUCGGAUUGCAACUUUCCUCUUUCAUCAACAACAACGAUAUAACGAAUGCAUGUCACAACACGUCAAUGCAACAACAACAUAAUGUUUAAAGUCUCCUCCCAACAAUAAACAAAACAUGCAUUGAACUAACGAUAAUAGUUCUCCUCCUGAACUAUCAUCCCACAACAACAUACUCACAAUUCAGCGACAUAAUUCAUGCUUAUACAGCAGCAUAUCAUCAUCACAAUUCACAGAAAUUAUCACAACAUCAUCAUCACAUAUACAUAUCUUCGUCAUUCAUCAAUAAUUUAUAAAUUCGAUUAAAAUCAUGUUUAAUCACUGAAUAAUAGCAAAACUCAUUUAAAACAGCAGCUAACAUGUAUAACAAUACCCAAAAGAUCAAUAAAAGUCGAAAAAUCGAAAUUUGAAAUUUAAUAUCAUCAAAACAAGUAUUUGCGCUCGCUGCAAACUCGUGACGGGUUACCCCUCACAGUGGUGGCGCCCGUCACCAACCCCAAAAACCCAGAACGUCAUUUAGAUGACGACCGGCUUGAAAUGCAAGUCUGGGCAGCAUGACGGAUAACCUGUCCUAGUGGUGACAUUCGUCGGUGCCCUGAGAAUUGCAUAAUUCAUUUUUGCUAAUAGAGUUCACUGCAUAGCUCAUAUUUUCUCAUCCCAGGCAUACGAAUUCAACAUAGAAACAUCACUCACGUGUUAUAUUUCAUCAGUGAUCCAAUUGCAUCAAAUCAACACUUUUAAAUUCAUAGUUUUCAUAAAAUUAUUUUAUUCCCAAAACCUUCGAACACACAACAAUGGUGAAAAUAUGUUCAUUCAUUAAUACAGAUUUUUGUCAUACAUCAAGCAUACAAAUUUCAUCAUCAAACAUCACCACAUACAACAAAUCAAUCAUCUAUAACAGAAUUUUAUUAAAAUCUCAAAUCUCUAUUGGAGAUUAAGGACUUCUCAGUUCUACCCAUCAGGCAUAUACCGAUUAUUAAGAUAGUUCUCCCCCAUUACCUGAUUAUCCUAACAACAUCGCAAAAUUUUGACUUUGAUUCUCUAAAUUCCUCCAAGUUCUAAGCUUUACUAUUGCACCUUCUCUAGCCUCCUCUCUAUUCCCAAUUUUGGCCUUAAGUAUGAUAGAAAACUCCUUAAAACUAGGUUAUCUCUUAGUUUAUAUAAUAAGGGUAAUCUAAUUAAAAGUAUAAACUCAUUUCUCACUUGCCAACAUUAUUACUCAUUUCUUCCCUCUAUUUUUUAUAAUUCUCAAUUCAGCCCCAAACUCUCUAUUUUCCAUUUAAUUAAUUAAAUUAAAAUAAAAUAUUAUUAUUUUAAUUGCUAAAAUAACUCUUAGUAAUUCUAGUCCACUUUUACCUGUCUCCAAUUACUCAUACAUUCCCAUCUUGAGGUCACAUACCCCCAUCACCCAAAUUAAGUCAAUUAUCACACAUAAUAAUUAAAUUAAAAUACAAAUAAAUCAAUUAAAAAUAAUAACUUGAAAAUUGGGAUGUUACACAUUGCAUUCAAUAUAUCUUGAUUCUUACAUUUCAAAACAUGACAAAUAUCGCGAGUAAUGGCUAUGAUAUCUCUCAUAAGAUGUAACAUAAAUAUAAACUCAAAACAUGUGGUAAUAAGGACUACCUUGUUGGCGAAGGGCUUGUUUGCUAAGGUAAUUCACUAGCUCCCCCAUAAAGAGUUUAGACGAUUUCUCCAACCUAGAUGGUAAGUACUUGAAUAGGGAAUACUUUAUUGAUGCUCUUUUGAUUAUUGAGGUAAUUCAUUAGCUCUACAUGUCCUUCAAGAAUAGAAGAAACUUUAUAAUGCAUUGUAAACUAUUCUUAGCAUUAGAUCACCUAUCAUAUGUUGGAAAUCCACCACAACUUAUGUAGAAUUUCAAUCAAUCUUGAUGAACAAGAUUGUUAUCACCCACACAAUAACAGUGAAAAAAGAAGAACAAUGGAGAAAGAAAGAUAGUAAAUAACAAAGGAGAAAAGUAAUAAAAUUCUGCAGAGUUUCUCUCUGUCCACAAACUGUGGAAAACUUCUUAUUCACUUUGCAACUGCAAAAUACUGUGAAUUAUAAUGUUAUGAAUACUAUCUUCACUUUAUUACAAGAAUAAGGGUUACUCCCUCUAUUUAUAAAUUUAGGUUAACUUGGACCUCAAGCCAGAGCCAAAAACUAUAAAAGCUCAAAAUAGCUAACACUACUAAAAUAGGCAUAAGUCGAAAUCCUAUAUGAAGCAACAUGCUUCGACACUUCGACACACUAACACAACUCAAUAAACUAGAUGGUUCGACACUUCCUUGCUUCUGUCGAGCAACCUGCUUCAACACAAGGAAUUACAAUCCAGCACACCACCUAAUUCAUUGUGUCUAACCUAUCUAGAUUUAUCAUAGCCCCUAGUCUUUUGAACACUUUGACUUGCACUCCCUCUGUCAUGAUGUCUGCAAUUUGAUUCUUAGUUUUGCAGUGUUCCAUACUCAUCUUCCUGUCUGCUACCUGCUCUCGAAAAUAAUGGAACCUCAUUUCGAUGUGCUUGCUUCAACCAUGUGCUAUCGGAUUCUUCGCCAGAUUGAUAGCUGACAUGCUGUCGAUCCUCAUGGUAAUUGCUCCAUGACUCUUCGUUGUUAUCUCUUCAACCAGAUUCACCAUCCAUGUUGAUUGACAUGCACAAAGAGAAACAGUUAUAUAUUCUGCUUCGCACGACGAUAAUACCACUACUGGCUCCUUUCUCAAACUCUAAGCAACUGGUGAACCACCUAACAUAAACACAUAGUCAGUUGUGGACUUUCGAUCCUCAGCAUCACUACACCAACUUGAGUCGGUGUAUCCCACUAAUUUGCAUUUUUUCCUUCAUCAGCUUCAGGAAACAAAAUGCCAUAAUCGAGAGUUCCUUUCAGAUAUCUUAGUAUCUUCUUCGCCGCUGCUAGAUGUGAUACAUUUGACUCCUAUAUGAAUCUACUCACCAUACAUACAUUGUAUGCUAAGUCAAGCCUUGUGUGACAAAGGUAUCGAAGUGACCCAAUAAGUCUUCUGUAUUGGGUUAGGUCGACAUCAUCUUCAUCUAAAUCUUUUGACACUUGUAAUAUGGGCUCAGAUGGAGUCGAAGUUAGGUUGCAAUCUUGCAUCUCAAAUCUCUUUAGUAUUUCGCAUGCAUACCUUCUUUGAUGCAUCAUCAAACCUCUACCAUUCUUGUAGAAUUCGAUGCCAAGAAAGUAUGAAAUGUCACCCAGAUCUGACAUUUUGAAUUCCUUGUUAAGAUCACCUUUGAAGUCUUCGAUCUCCUUCUUGCAGCUACUUGUUAUCAACAGGUCAUCGACAUAGAGGCAUAGUAUAAGCAAUUCACUCUUGCUUCUUCUUACAUAUACUUCAUGUUCAUAUUUUCACUUCACAAAUUUCUUCUCCCUUAGAAAACCAUAUAUCUUCUUGUUCCAAGCUCUUGGAGCUUGUUUAAGUCCGUACAGGGCUUUAUGCAGCCUAUACACCUUUCUUUCUUCGCCUUAUUUCACAAACCCAAUUGGUUGUGCAACAUAAACUUCUUCUAAGGGGCCAUUAAGGAAUGCACAUUUCACAUCCAUCUGGAACAUAUGCCCGUUGUUUAUGUUUGCUAGACCAACAACCAAACUGAUUGUUUCGAUCCUAGAAACAGGUGCAAAAAUUUCAUCGAAGUCGAUUCCUUCUUUCUAAAGAAAUCCUUUCGCCACAAGUCUCGCCUUGUGUCGAGUCACUUCUCCUUUGGGAUUCAACUUCACCUUGUAUACCGAUUUCAUAUUGAUUGCCUUCUUGUCUUGGGGCAAUUCGACAAGGGACCAAGUGCUGUUGACUUCGAUUAACUUCAGCUCUUCGUCCAUUGCUUUCAUCCACUUCGAAUCUUUCAAUGCCUCAGCUGUAUUGACAGGUUCGAAUUCUGCGUAGAAAGCAUAAUGUACCAGCUCACCUUAUUUAUUGACCACAUCAUUUGAUGUAAUCACACAUUCUUGCAACCUUGCAGGCAUGUGUCUUGUUCUUUGAGGUCUUUUUGAGCCUGUUUCACCUAUGACUUCUUCCUGUCAAACUUCUCUUUCAACUUCACCAGCUAGUUCGUCACAAAAGAUUCUCAUUGAAUCUUUCUUGACAUUCUCAGUCCAAUCCCAAUCCUUAAGCUCAUCUAUGAUCACGUCCCUGCUGAUAACCAAUUGCUUAUUCAUUAGGUCGAACAACUUGUAUCCUCUAGUCGAAUGAUAUCCUAUCAGGAUCAUCUGAUUUGACUUGUCAUCAAGUUUUCUUCUCAACUGAUCUGGCACAUGUCUAUGUGUUAUAGAUCCAAACACCUUCAAAUGACUCAAGCUAGGCUUAACACCAGACCAACAUUCUUCUGGCAUGAUUCCUUAUAGCUUCUUCGUCGAACAUCUGUUCAUAAUAUAUGUCGUAGUCCACACAACUUCUCCCCAUAAUUCUUUAGAUAGAUGUUUGCCUUUCAAUAUACUUCUAACCAUAUUCAUAAUGGUUUGAUUCUUCCUUUCUGCGGCUUCAUUAUGUUGUGGAGUGUAAGGUGGCAUUACCUCAUGCAUAAUCCCUUCUUUCCCGCAUAAUGCAUCGAAGUCUUUCGACACAUAUUCUCCACCACCAUCAGUCCUCAAAAUCUUGAUCUUUCGACCGCUCUGUGUAACACCCAAGACCGAAGAGGGCGAAGUGUGGUUACAUGUUACACCCGAGGGCGAGGGAGUGGUUGUCUGUGCACGAGGCAUGACAAUGAGAAAGUCCUAGCGGCUUCCAAAGAAAAAUUGAAUUCACAUAGGAGUGAGAGGGAUCUUGAGGUUGUGUAGGGGUGAUACUGCAUGGUUGAUGGAAGACUUAUAAGGAUUUAUUGGUAUUACAUAUACCAACAAGAUGCAUCUUCUUUUCGGUAGCCUAACAGGUAAGAACUUUAUAGUUAAGUGUGCUUGACUUAGAGUAGUAUUUGGAUGAGUGACCUUCUGGGAAGUUUCCCGGAAAACGUGUGAGUGAGGACAAAGCAUGCUGAAAAGACCUGUGUUGGUUUAUGGUGUCAGUCGGUAAUCCUGAAAGCAAUCCGGAGCGUUAAAAUGGUACCAGAGCAUUCUUAUUCGAAAACUAGAAUAUAUGAAAGAUAGAACCUCAGUGAUGAUAAUCACCUAUGCAAAAAUAUAAUGUGGAAUCAGAGGAAUGUUACUGAUUUUAUUCCACUAGUCCCUGGUCUUUUCCACCAAGACCAACGAUCCCCACCAAUGGAUCUGAGGCCACCAAAAUGGAUUGAAAUCCCACCUACACUCCAAAAUAAAUUAAUGCAUGGUAAUAUGAAUCACGAAUAUGUAUUACAUGGACAAACAUCAUAAUUCACCAAAAUUAUGUAUAAUAAUACUCAUAAACACCAAAAUUAUCCCAAAGGAUAUCACCAAAAUAAGUUUCAUUCACGAACCACAAAUUAUCCAAUAAAGGUCACCCAAAUUCAAAUCACAUAAAAUUUUGUUUAUUAAACAAUAUAUUCACUUUUCUUACACCCAAAAUUAUUUAAUUAAUUAUAUUCCUAAAAGUGAGUUAAAUAUACUAAUAUUUUAUAAUAUUUUAUAAAAGGUAUAUUUAAUUAUUUUAGGGUUAUUUUAUCACAAUUUCAACUAAGAACACGGAUUUUACUAGUUUUAGCUUUAUUUAUAAAAAAAAUAUUAUUAUUUACCAGAGAGAUUAAACAAAGCUUUGAAAUUUAUUAUAAUCAAAAGAUUAAUCUUUAUGGCAUUGUCAAAGUUCUUUAAAUACAUAAAACAAAGAAAUUCUAAUGAGUCUUAUGAAUUUUUAAUCAUAAACAAAAUAAAAAAAUAAAACAAAUAAAACAUAAAUUGCUAAAAUUUCAGAAAAUAGUAAAACGUUGUUUUUAGAACUUAAACGAGCUUAAACGACUUAAAAACCCGAAUAGUCACUUUAAAAAAUGAGUUUGAUUUUUGGGACGAUUCCCUUUCCUAAAAGAUAUAAUAAAACUUAUUCUGACAUCGAACACCAAACUUUCGCAAAAUUCUGUUGAACCACUUUGAAACACGACUUCUCCUUCGAUACGUGCAACCAGCAUUCCUAUCUCAGAUUUUCCAAGUUUCUGCCUCUGAAUAUCGAAUUCUUACAACAUACAAUUCCCAAUGACAAAUUCUCAAAAGUUAUGGUUUUCCCCAAAAGAUUAAUUUUAGAGUUUUUAGAUUUUCCCCAAAAGGGUUUACCUUAACAGAACCAUAAAAAAAGGACAAAGAGUGACCAAAUAAGAGUAUCCCUAUAAACACUUGUGGGAUAUUAUCAUAUAGAAUUGACCAAAAGGAUUUAUCACCAACAUGCAAUUUCAUAUUAUACUGUGAUUUAACAUCAAAAUUCAAUUUUAUUAACAAAUCACCAAAAACAAAUUUAUCGAUCCAAAAAUCAUAUCGAUAACCAUAUCGAUCACCAAAAGUGACCAAAUAGGAUUAUCCCAUUUGGGCACAGAUCGUAACAACGAUCGACUCCCAAAAACCAAAAUUUCAAUAUAAAACAUAUUAUUCAUACAAUAUGUGACCAAAGGGGUUAGGCCAAACCCCAUACGGUCAGAGCAAAUCAUUAUAAUAAAAUAUUUGUAUUUUGAUUCGAUAAUUUCAGGAUUACCGACUGAUCCCACAAACCAACAAUGGUCUUUUCAGCAUGUUUUGUUCUCACUCACACCUUUUCCGGAAAACUUCCCAGAAGGUCACCCAUCCAAAUACUACUUCAAGUCAAGCACGCUUAACUAUUAAGUUCUUAUCUAUUAGUCUACCGAAAAGAAGAUGCAUCUUGUUGGUAUAGGUAGUACCAAUAAAUCCUUAUAAGUCUUCCAUCAAUCAUGCAGUCUCAUCCCUGCACAACCUCAGAAUCCCUCUGAUUCCGAUGUGAAUUCAGUUUUUCCUUAGAAGCCGCUAGGAGUGUCUCAUUGUCAUGCCUCGUGCACAGACAAUCACUCCCUCUCCCUCGGGUGUAACAUGUAACCACACUCCGCCCUCUUCGGUCUCGGGUGUUACAUGCCCACCAUCUUCUGCUUGGUUCAUCCCCGAACCACAUCGUACUGGGAGAGGUCUGGAUUUGAUACCAUUUGUAACGCCCCAGACUGCUUUCAGGAUUACCGACUGACCCCACAAACCAACACGGAUCUUUUCAGCAUGCUUUAUCCUCACUCACACAUUUUCCGGGAAACUUCCCAGAAGGUCACUCAUCCAAAUACUACUCCAAGUCAAGCACGCUUAACUAUGGAGUUCUUAUCUAUUAGGCUAUCGAAAACAAGAUGCAUCUUCUUUUUGGUAGCCCAACAGAUAAGAACUCCAUAGUUAAGUGUGCUUGACUUGGAGUAGUAUUUGGAUGGGUGACCUUCUAGGAAGUUUCCUGAAAAGCGUGUGAGUGAGGACAAAGCAUGCUAAAAAGAUCUGUGUUGGUUUGUGGGGUCAAGCGAUAAUCCUAAAAGUAGUCUGAGGUGUUACAAGUGGUAUCAGAGCUAGACCUUUCCCAGUACGAUGUGGUUCUGGGACGAACCAAGCGGAAGCUAGUGGGCAUGUAACACCCGAUGGCGGAGAUGGCGGAGAAUGGUUAUAUGUUACACCCGAGGGCGAGGGAGUGCUUGUCGGUGCAUGAGGCAUGACAAUGGGACACUCCUAGAAGCUUCUAGGGAAAAACCGAAUUCACAUCGAAAUGAGAGGGAUCUUGAGACUAUGCAGGUAUGGGACUGCAUGGUUGAAGGAAGACUUAUAAGGAUUAAUUGGUACUAUCUAUACCAACAAGAUGCAUCUUCUUUUCAGUAGCCCAAUAGAUAAGAAAUUCGUAGUUAAGCGUGUCUGACUUGGAGUAGUAUUUGGAUGGGUGACCUUCUGGGAAGUUUCUCGGAAAGCAUGUGAGUAAGGAUAAAACAUGCUGAAAAGACCAGUGUUAGUUUGUGGGGUCAAUCGAUAAUCCUGAAAGCAAUUUGGAGCGUUACACUCUGUCUUUCGACCAUAGAUUUAAACUUGGAAUAUACCUCGAUCACUUCACUUUUCUUCUUGAUAUGGUAAGACUAUAGUUUUCGACUGAAAUCAUCUACGAAUGUAAUAAAGUAUUUGUUACUUCCAAAAUCCAAUCCACUUGGAGAGGACCACAUACAUCAGAGUAUAUGACUUCAAGAAUUGCCUUCGACCUGCUUCCUGCAUCCUUACUGAAGUUCUGCUUCGCCUGCACACAUUCUUCACACACUUUGUUUGGAAUGUCGAUUUCUGGUAAUCCUGAAACCAUAUUUCUUCUCUUCAAAACUCUGAUGUCUUUGAAAUUGAUAUGGAGAAGUCUAUAAUGUCAUAUCCAUUCAUCUUUGUUGGUUGCUGUUGUAAGGAACUUAUGCUCCAUCACAUUUAGUUCAAUCUUGAAGGUUCUAUUCUGAGACAUUGGAGCCUUCAAGAUCAACCUUCCAUUUGAGUCGAGAAUUCUCAUUAUCUUGUCUUCGAUCAAAACUCUGUAGUUCUUUUCGACUAACUUCACUAUGCUGAGAAAAUUGCUCUUCAUGCCCGGUAUGUACAACACAUUUGAAAUUACUGACCUCUUGCCAUCUUUCCUCAUAAUUAUAACAUCACCAACAUCUUCAACUGCUAGAGUGUUGUUAUUUUCAAAUUUCACCAUGUUCUUAAUUGAGGGCUUUAUGUUGACAAACCAAUAUUUCCUUAUAGACAUGUGUGAUGAACAUCCUGAGUCCAAGUACCAUUGGUCCUUGAAUCUCUCUUCAUCUCUUGUUGUAACCAUCAGUAACGUCUCUUCUUCUUCAUGUUUCGCCAGUUUUGCAUAAGUUUUUUUAUUCUUCCGCUUUUCUGGAUAAUCACUAUAAUAAUGAUCAUACUUUUGACAAUUGUAACACUAAAUAUGACUCUUGUCGGCUUUUGACCACCACCUCUUCCUCUACCUGCAACGCCACCUCUUUGGUUGCCUUGGUUCCAAGGUUUUCUCUGAUUCGACCAGUUUCCUUCUUGCUGAUUUUGACCAGUCGAAUUAUUGUAGCCUCAUUUGCCUUUGUUGCCAUUCCAGCUUACUUUUCCUUUUCUUUCUUUUGUUGAUUGAGCCUGCAAAGCCAUAUCACUCUUCGACUUUCCUGCAACUCUUUUAGUCAUUCUUUGUUCAUGAGAUUCAAGCGUCCCUUGAAGCUCUUCCUUUGUCAGUUUUGACAAAUCCUUCGACACUUCUAUGGCUACUACCAUGUGGUCGAACUUUAAAGCCAACGACCUCAAGAUCUUUCCAACAACAGAUCUUGAUGUCAACACUUCUCCACAUACUUUCAUUUGAUUCACUAGUUUCGUAACCUUGGUGAAGAAAUCAGUUAUGCUUUCAUUGUCUUCCAUCUGAAGUAAUUCAUACGAUCUCUUAUGAGUUUGUAACCUCGCCUCUUUCACCUUCUCUGCGCCUUCAAACGAUUUUUCUAGAAUUUCUCAUGCUUCUUUCGCUGACUCUACAUCACUAACCUUUUCAAAGUUAUCUGCAUCAACACAUUGAUGGAUUUUAAAGAGAGCUUUAUAAUAUUUCUUCUCCAAUUCUUUAUGUGUAGCCUUUUCUUGAUAUGUCGCGUCUUCUACAAGCGUUGCUACUCCUUCCUUCACAAGAUCCCAAAGAUCUUGAUAACAGAACACAAUUUUUAUCUGCUUGCACCAAUUGUCAUAAUUGUUGUUCUUGAGAAUCGGAAGAUUUACUGGAAAAUGCCUGUUUGGAUGAUUCGUUGCCAUGGUGAUUUUCUUCCCACUAAUCAAUUAAACUGAAGCUCUUGAUACCAGAUGUUGGAAAUCCACCACAACCUAUGGAGAAUUUCAAUCAAUCUUGAUGAACAAGAUUGUUAUCACCUACACAAUAACAAUGAAAAAAGAAGAACAAUGGAGAAAGAAAGAAAGUAAAUAACGAAGGAGAAGAGUAAUAAAAUUCUGCAGAAUUUCUCUCUACCCACAAACUGUGGAAAACUUCUUAUUCACUUUGCAACUGCAAAAUACUGUGAAUUACAAUGUUAUAAAUAUUAUAUUCACUUCACUACAAGAAUAAGGCUUACUCUCUCUAUUUAUAGAUUUAGGUUAACUUAGACCUCAAGGCAAAGCGCAAAACUAUAAAAGCCCAAAAUUAUAAAAGCCCAAAAUAGCUAACACUACUAAAAUAGGCAUAAGUCAAAAUCUUGUGUGAAGCAACAUGCUUCGACACUUCGACACACUAACACAACUCAACAUACUAGGUGGUUCGACACUCCUUUACUUCUGUCGAGUAACCUGCUUCAACACAAGAAAUUACAAUUUAACAUCAUAUAGCUCCAAAUGUUCAUUAGCAGAAAUUACUUUAAUUAGUUUUAAAUUUUGGGUGGGGUUUAAAGUUUUAGAAACCGUUAGCUAUUGGGUCAAGUAUUUGCUUUGUUUUAAGUUUUAGCCUAUCAUGUGAUAUUUGCAUUCGAUCAGUGUGAUCUAAGUUGUGUGUUGGGGACAUUGUUAGGAAUCUUUUGAGUCUCUUGUAAGGUUCACCUAGUUACUUUCAUAAUUUUGCUUGAAAGUGGUUCUUGUUUACAUCUUCAUUCAGUCUUCCAAAAAAAACUUCUUUUGUUCCAACUGGCAAAGUAGUUCUAUGUUGAAUUUGAACUUAGCGGUAAUUGUGGGAUGGUUGACGAUGGUCAAUCAGUUUCGUUAUUCAGUACACCAUAGUCUCAAACUAGUUUUUAUGGUGGAGGUUGUAUGGGAUCUUGAUGUAAAUCUUGCAUUGCUUUAUUUGACUUGGACUUUUUGUGGUCACUUAACUCUAUUUACUUGCCUUCCUUUUUUUUUACUUAAUCGAGUCUCCUUUCAAUUUUUACAAGUGGUUUCUUCAAUUUUAUGUUAAAAGGAAGUUCAGUUGAGAGUUGGCCUCCUAUACACUCUUAAACAAUUAUUUAUAAUAAAAUAAACUUAAAAUAAAAUAAAAGCAAAAUUUUCAUUAUAAAGAAAAAUAGUUUAACUUGUAACAAACAUUAAAUUAUAUAAAUGAAAGUGGCAGUCCUCGUGUUAAAAAAAUUUAAUGGGCAAUUUGACAAGUAUAUCAAAUUGUUGUUGUCAUUAAUAAGAUGGGAAAAAAUUUCCUCUGUAUCGAUCAUAAGAACUACAUGUAUUUUUUUAUUAAAUUUAACAUUUUAUAGGUUGAAUAAAAAGUUUCUACGGCUUGAACAUCCCUUUGAACUCAAUCCUAUCAAUUAAAUAUAUAUUAUCUAUCUUAUAAAAAAUAUUUCAUUUAUAUUUUUUUAUAUCUUAAAAUAAAUAUUCAUUUAAAAUAUUAAUAAAAUAUUUAUUUUUUCAUUACUAUAUUUCUAUUCAUUAGCAUUCAUUCUUUUCAAUAAUUUCAUUAAUUAUAAUAAAUAAUAUUAUUUUAUCAUUAAAAUCAAUAUAAUUAUUUAUUUAUUUAAGAAUCGCAUACAUCCGGUGCUACAUUUAGUGUUGCAGGAAAGGGAAAGAGACUUUGGAAAGCCAACAAGCUAGGUUUUAAGUGAGCAAUCUUGUGAUUUCCUUGCCAUCCAAUUACAAUUAUAGUUGUUAUCUAGUUUCAGUGUCUGUGAGUAAACCUGUUCAAGCAAGGGUAAAAGCAUAUUAUGAUUCUGACUAGCUGAUUAUAGAGUCAUAUACUAGGCCAGUUUCCAAUCAUCCUGUUUUUAGUUUGUCGUGUCAGGCGAGCAAAUGGGUUCCCUAGGCAGUAAUUGGUUGCAGGGCAUUUUCCUUGGAUGUUUUUUCUGUCUUAUAGAUAUAAAACAACAGGUAAAGCCUUAAUGAAACCUUUGGGUGAUCAAAGAAGAGAAACAAGGCUCCUCUCCUUUUUUAGGAAUCUACAACUCUCUUUACUGAACGAGACUCUACCCAGAUCUAAAGAAUUCGCCAAAGAGCCUUCUUCUAACAUAAAACUCAAAACAAAGAGUAAUAUAUCGAUACUCCCACGAUUAUUUAACAUUGAUCUCUUAAUAAUUAAACAUUUACCCACAUAGACCAACCCUUCGAUCUCUCGACAAGUUAUGAUCUAAGGUUAAGUAUUUUUAAUAAUAUGAGUUUUAUAAUCUCACCUCUAUCUUAAGUGGUCGUCGAGUAGAAUAUAUAGUUCAAAUAUUUCACUCAUUACAUUCUCAUUAAACCACAAUUUAUUUUAUUGUUGAUAUACCAAUCAAAUACAUUAAAGAUAAAUAAUGGAUAAACAACAUAAUACUAAUAUUUAUUCAAAAUAAGUACUAGUAUCAUUUAAGAUACAAGGUUAGAACUUUUUAUUCAAAUACCCCUAAUUUUUAGAAAAAAUCUCAAAAUAACUUUGAUUUAUAAAAAAAUCUCAAUCUACCCCACUUUUAAGAGGAGGCGCCAGAUCAAUUGGCGUCAGCUCCUAAAGUUAGAGAGGAGACGUCAAUUGGAUUGGCUAUGACACAUGGUGCUGCCAAUCCAAUUGGCGUCCAUGUGUUACUUUGUAGAGGAGGCGUCAAUUGGUCUGGUGCCUCAGUGUAAAGUGCAAUUUUUUUGUUAUAAAUAGAGGAGUUGUGUGAAUCAUUUUUCCACAUCUCAUUUCAUCAUUCUGCAAACAUGUUUGGUGUUCGGCGCCGCAAUGGAAAGGUGAUUUAUUCGAGAGAUAAAUCUCCGAUGUUGAUGCUCUUCUGGAACAUCACUAGUUUCGAUCAACUGAAGAGGGAGAUGGUUCGUUGGUUAGAUGGAAAAAUACCAGAAGGGGAAAAAAUUAGAAGUAUUGAGAGACUCGACAGUAUAUUUGGUUGGGUGUGAGUCAAAACUGAUAAGGAUCUUAGGGAAAUGAUGUUUGGACGAGAUGACAUUAGUUUGAUUGUUAUAAUCAGUUAGAAAUAUUAUAUUUUAAGUUUGCUUAUGUUGUAGUGAUGUUUGUUGUUAACCUUGUUGUAACAAAAAGUUAAUGAUAUAUAAAAAUCCAAGGUUACAAAAAUUAAAAGGAGAUAAUAUCUUAUGAUGAAGAUGUUGCUCCUCUAUUGGGACAGUUGUCCUUGUUGUGUCCUGGUUGACGACAUAUACUACAUAGUCUUAUCAUUUUAUCACUCGUAUCCAUUUAUGUUCUAAUACGCGUGUUGUUUGGCCGUCCUUUUUUCUUUUUUCGCAUCUCGUCGUUAUGCCAAACUAUGUCACCUUCAUAUGGAGGUCAGUAUUCCUCCAUUGGUAACACUGAGAAGCUUUUGUUAUACACAUUCAUGACAGUAAUGGUCUUGUAAACAUCAAAUAGAUGGUUGUAAGCAUCUUGACGAGUAUGUGCGCAUGUCACAAUGACAUGGGUACAAGGAAUACGGAAGGCCUGGAACUUUCCACAGUCGCACCAACUUCUGUUUAGUUUGACAGCAUAGGAUAAAUUUGGUCUCCCCUCAUUGUGGUCCAUUGUUUCCUGUACGCUGAAAUUUUGCCUAUGACGGUCAAAGACUGUUACCGUACUUUCCACAGUCGCACCAACUUCUGUUUAGUUUGACAGCAUAGGAUAAAUUUGGUCUCCCCUCAUUGUGGUCCAUUGUUUCCUGUACGCUGAAAUUUUGCCUAUGACGGUCAAAGACUGUUACCGCAUGUGUGCUAGCUUUGAUGCUCUCCUCUUUCAUCACUUUCAUACAACAUUCACUAAAUAUUUGCCUGGACAUUAACAUUGCACUACAUAUUUCACCUCUGGUUGCGAAGGUAGAAGUCAACCUAUAAUAGGUUGAUCUGACUAAAGCGGUUAUUGGUAGAUUUCUAAUCCCUUUGAAUACAUCAUUCAUUCAUUCCACAAGGUUUGUUGUCAUGUGGCCCCAUCGACAGCCUCCGUCAAAUGCCCUUGUCCAUUGCUCUACAGGUAUGUUAUCCAUCCAUCUUCCUGCAUCUGCAUUGGACAGUCUAAUUUCAUCACAAUAAUAUUGAAAUGACGGCUGAGUUAGAGCAUACCCAGCAUUCACCACUUUUUUGUGAAGGUUCUUAUCUUUGAUUGCACGCAUGAAGUUUUGUGCGAUAUGUUUAAUGCAAUAGACAUGGGUAGAAGGAGGAUCAUGUCAUUCGUUGUCAUGGUUAUAGUAAGCACUCUCAAUGGCAGCAUGUCUAUCAGAAAUCAAACAGAGAUUGGUUUAUGGAGCCACAUGUGUUAUGAGAUGUCGAAGAAAGAAAUCCCAACCACCAGCGGUUUCACCUUCAACCAGGGCAAAGGCAGUGGGAAAGGCAUUGUUGUUGCCGUCUUGUGCAACCGCCAUAAGUAAAGUACCCUUGUAUUUUCCGUAUAACCAUGUUCCAUCAAUUUUAAUAAUAGGUUUGCAAAAUGCAAAACCUUUGAUGCACGGAUCAAACGCCCAAAAGAGGAGGUGAAAGAUUCUAUUUCCAGCAACACAUGUUCCAUCUGGCGUAAAUGCUGGCAAUGUCUCCAUAAUUGCAACAGUUCCUGGUACGUAUGUUUUUAGGGCCCAUAAAAAUUGUGGCAAUUAUUUCAUCUGCAACACUCACUACUUCCUCAACAACAUCAAAUCUUUCAUCUGCAACAACCUCUUUCAUCUGCCCUAACCUCUUUCAUCUUCGAUAAGAUAUCUAUCCUCACAAUGGGCGAAUCGCACAGAGGAACAGUUGCAAACAUAACAACUUACGUAAGCAUUUAAUUCUUUUAUUAUUUGUCUAGAAUACCUUUUAAUAACAUAUCAACUUAUAGGAUGUUUCAAGGUUCCGAACUCGGGUCCACGAAUAUGUACACAUGGACCCGAUGAUUCAAUCGUAUGUCGAACUCACUGGUUUUGGACAUAUAAGCAAAAUAAUGUCUUGGUCGGUGGAUAAUAAAUUCAUUCUUGUGUUAUGUUAAAGAUGGCGUCCCGAGACACACACAUUCUGGUUUCCACCGGUGAGUGUACCAUGACGUUAAAAGACGUCUACAUGCUAUUGGGACUGUCUAUCGAAGGUAAAGCUGUAAAUGGUAAAACCAACUACGCGAAUUCAAUUUUCAUGGACCUCUUGGAUGCUGAUUUGUUAGAUGAUAACUCAAGAGGUCAAGGUAUACUCCUUUCAUGCCUUAAGGCAUACUAUAACAGCUUACAUUUAGAUUAGCAUUCUACCGAAGAGGCUCGAAUAAUAAAAACUAGGUGUUACAUUAUGUUUUUAAUUGAUUCUUUUUUAUUUCCCGAAGGUAGUGGUUCUAGUAUGCAUGUUAUGUAUUGACCUUUACUAAGACAUGUAGAUAGAAUAGGAAGUUACAGUUGGGGAUCCGCUUGUCUGGCCUAUCUUUAUAGCUCUUUGUGUAAAAAUUCACACAAAGAUACAUCUACCUUUUCUGGAUGUGCUGUUUUGCUCCAAGCAUGGGGUUGGUCAAGACUACCGUCCCUAGCGUCCGUCAACAACAACCCUUUCACAUUCCCGUAUGCACAAAAGUAAGUUGUUUAAAAUGGUCUAUAUUUACUUACUUUACCGAUUAUUAUCUCUAACUAAUAUUUUUACCUUUAUGGUGCAGAUGGUCGGCACGUGGUAUGAGUUAUAACAGAUGUCUGAGACAUUGUAUUACCCAGUAUCGCAAUCUCUUGGAUCACCUUCGACCGACAGAUGUAUGGAUAAUAACCUAAUUAUUUCGUAAUAAUUUAUUAAUUUCUUCUACCAAAUUUAUAAUCUAACAUACGUUCACAUUUCAGUUAAUUUGGUGUCCAUACCUAAAUUUGGAUCAUGACCAUGAAAUCAACGAAGAAGACGCAGCCGUUUGGACUGCAUGCACACCGAUCAUAAGAUUCACCACUGUGGAGAUGCACAACAGUGAUUGUGUUAAAUUGUAGUUUGGUAUGCUUCAACACAUCCUAGAUCCCCCAGCAAACCUAGGAGAAUGGCAUCUAUGCAAAGUUAACGACCAAUGGAACUUUAACCCAUGGAAAAGCUUCGCUAGAUCUGAGUGUCGCAAAUGGAAGCACCUCCAUGACCAUGUCUUAACUGCCUAUGUGAUGCCAACUGAAGAAAAACCAAGUCGUACUUAUAUGGCUUGAUACAGAUUGGUUGGUUUUGAGUUCAUUGCCGAGGAUAUGUACCUACACGACUCAUGCCAGGCAACAUACACACCAGAAGACUCAACAUCUAACCCCCAACAAGAUUGUCAGACCGGCUACACACAACCCCCUAUUCGUCAAACUUUCCGUUCCACAAACAUACAAACAUACAACCCUAAUCUGUCAUACACCCAACCACAAUACCAAGAGCAUACCUCGUGCCACCACCAACAACUAGAUCAUCAACCAGAGACUCAGCAUCGAUUCGCACCCAACACAUCACCCUACCAAAGCCACCUUAGCCAAAACACUCAACGAUCAUUUAACACCAAUCGUCCCUCCUCCUACCAAAGCCAAGAAGCCCAAACAUCUAAAAACUGAAACCUUCAACAACCCCAUGUCUACCAAACACCACAACAAUCUUUCCAACCUUUCCUCGACGCAUCAUUCAUACCAAUGUCUCCCUUCAAUCGUCUCGGUCUCCCUCCAACAAGUUAAACACAACCCAACUACUUUGGCAUGGGUCAUGAACUCAGCUAUGGUGGUACACCUUCGAUGCAUACACAAGACUACGCUAAUUUUUCUGACUAUCUCAACAGGCAAUCUCCUGUAGUUAGUAGUGAUGUUCCUGGUCCCUCAGAUGCUCAAACACCUGGGGUGAAUCAUCAACAUGGGUUAGGGCCACGGGUUCGGGUAGCUAGGGGAUGUGGUACCGGAGGUCAGUUAGGUGAUCUCUGCCAUCAACAUUAGUCUUUUUUGUGUAAACGGAAAUUAAUAUUAAUAUGAAUUGGUUUGAUUUUGAGUUUAUGUAUCAUGUAGACUUUUUUUGAAAAAAAAUUACAAAACACACAGAGGUGCCAAUGCAAUUGGUAUAACACCCCAUUUUCAAUUAUUCAAUUUUAUUGAAUUAUUUAGGAAUUAUGUGUAAGGUGUGUUUUGAUGGAUUGGGUCAAUUAAAAUAGUUAAGUGGUGUAUAAAUUAGUGGAAUUAUUUAGAGUUCUUUUAAUGAUUAAAGAAGAAGGUUAUUUGUUUAAUUAGGUGAAUAUAUAUUAGAAUAGUUAGCAUUUUAAUUAUUAUUAGAAAUAAAUAGAGAAAUUGAUAAAAAUAAGAAUUGGGUCAAUUGUGUGAAUUGAGGAAAGUUCGUGGUAAGAGGAGAUGAGCUAUAAUUAAUUUGGGCAAUAAUAAUAAUUAGGCAAAUGUAAGGAGGUUACUAUAUAUUCUAAAAGUUGGAAAAAUUAGGUUUUUAGAGAAACCAUUUGACAAUACGUAGAAUUGGAGAACAAAAUAGGAAAAUGCAAGGUUGACUAGAGGUAGAAGAAGAGGAAUUCAAGAGAGAAUUGCAUCACUUGCUAGGAAUUUAGGUAAGGGUGGGAAAUUAUUUCAAUAAUAAGGGUAUAUGCAUGAAGGGUAGGGUAGAAGAGUCCUCAAACUCCAAUAGGGCGUUUGAGAUUUUACUAAAUUAAGAAUUUUUAUGAUAUCUUCAUGUUAUAUAUUGUGAUUAUUGAUGAUUUUUGUGCACUAUGUGUAGCUGUAUUUUCUGUUUUGAAUGUUGGGAUAAUUUCACCAUUGUUGAGAGUUUCGAAGGUUUAUGAAAUUGAUAAAGUUAUGAAUUAUAUGAUUUAAUUGAUGCCAAUAUGUGAUAAAUCAUAAAUUUGAUGUUUUAAUCAUUGGAUAAGUGUUGGGUUUUGAAUUCUGAGAUCGGGACUUUUUACGGAAUCGAAAUUGGAGGUCCGGAAGGCCUCCAACGGAGAAAAAUAAGCUUUAAGGUUGUUCUUCGAACCUAUAAUCGGUUACCGGUCUGAGUGUAAUCGAUUACCACUUGAAAAAUAGGUUUUUUGGCUGUUUUCGAAGCUCGUAAUCGGUCACCGGUUUAGCGUAAUCAAUUACCACUGUUAAGUGAAAAUUUUAGAAAAUUGAAAAUGACGUAACUUGAGCUUCGUAGCUCCGUUUGACACGCGGUUCGAAGCGUUAGAAAGAUAACGCAUAGUACUAUCUCAUGAUGAUGCCUUAAGAGGAUGAAUAUGAUGUACUUAACAUUGAAUUAAUUGGUAAUGUGUUAUUGUUGUAGAUGCCUUAGUUGUUAUAUGGCAUUUGUUUAUGUGAAAGUUGCAAUUGUCGAUUUUUCGUGUUUUGUUGGUUAUUGGGUACUAUUAGCUGCCGUAUGAUGUUGCUUUGAUGUCAAUUGCUGAUUUAUCAUGAUUUUAAUCGGUAUGAUGUAGGGAUUGAUUAAUGAUGAAUAUAUGCCAAUGAUAAAUGAUUGAUUAAACAUGAAUAAUUGUUGUGUGAUAAUAAUGUUGUUAUAUCAAUGUUGCUAUAAUGAUGUUAUUAAUAUGAUUGUAUUGAUGUUGUUGUGUUGGUGUUUUAUGAUGACAAUAUGAACAUGAUAAAAUUAUGUUGAUAAUAUGGUGUUGAUGUUGGCAUACACGGUCAAGAGUGGAUUGAUGUGUAUGUGUUGAUGAUAUUGUUAUUGUUGCAUGUUGGGAGUCAUGCAUCCAUGUUGUCGGAAAUUUAGUUAUAUUUAAUUGGUGAGCCUCGAUCCUAUGGUGAUAGAUCGGGUGCGAGUAUCUAAUUCCUAUUAUGGGGGAUUAGUGAAGUGUUACCUAUGGUGAUGGUAGCGAUUUUGGCGUGCUCCGAUUCCAGGAGGGGAUCGAUCAUAUGGUGGGGAUCAUGGAGUGAAGUGAACCUGAGUGUUCAUAUUUGGUACCACAUACAUGUCGAGUCGGUGUUGAGUCCAUUGGAUAAGUGUUGCAUUUGUAUUGGUUGUGCAUGAUGUUGAUGAUAAUUGAGAAGUUGGUUUGUAUGAUGUUGAUGAUAAUUGAGAAGUUGUUGUGUAUGAUGUUAAUGAUGAUUUGGGUGUGAGAAUUACAAUAUGUUGUCGUGAAUGAUUAUGUUGAGUGCAAUCUAUCUUUCAUGUUAUGCCUUUUAUAAUUGAUUGUGAUUUCUCAUCCCUUCUGUUUGAAUGUUGCCUCUAGGUGGGCAUCAUGCAGAUAUCCAGGAGUAAACCCUAUUGAAGUAAGUGGAAGACAGCUUUGUAGUGACUUCCAUUAGUUGUCGUUAUGUAGUCGAAUUCUGCUCUGAUCAUGUAACAUCGGGUUGGGGUCGAAUGUUUGGAUUAAAUUAUAAUGUCUUAUGAUGAAUCAUAUUAUGUUUAAUAUUUUAAGUUGUUGAGUUGAACUAUUUACGACUCUUUAUGAUGUUUUUAAAAUUGAAGUUUAAGACUAAAUGUCGUAUGCUCUUCUACCUUCUUUGAAUGUUGAUGUUGAAUUAUGCUGCGAUGAUACCUAAAUGAAGGUGAGCAUGCGAUGACAGGUUAAUUUGUUAGUUGUAACCCGUGUUACGGGGCAGGAUAGCUUAUCUUUUAUGAAGUGUGACACCCUUGUAUUGGUGAUUAUUUAAUUAAUUUCAUUAAUUAUAUGUAGGGUUUAUAAGGGUGUUACAUUAGUGGUAUCAGAGCAGGUCGGUCCGUCCGGUCAGGUUGUUAAAUUUUGUUUGUUCUGUAGUAUGUGACAUAUGUGUGAGAACAUUGUCGAUGCUUGUUUUAUUUUCCAUUUGCAGGUUGGGAAGGAAACAAGUGGGGGAGAAGAGUAUGCUUGUCUUGGAUGUUCCAACUCUAUAGAGCUUGGACAUCAUGUUGUCGCAUGCCAGAGUGUAAUGUUGGCUAGUUGAGCUGUUUUGAGGAUGUUGUGCUUUUUCGGAACCCGGAGAGAGGUCAGAUUCGAGGAUGGUGUCGGUUAGCAAAAUGGUGUGAUCCUUGAGGGAAGACAACCAGGUUUUUUCGUUGGUUCCUUCCUUGUGGUGGGGAAGGUGAUGUUUUUGCUAGAGAUGUGCCAGUGGUUGUUGAGUAUCCCAACAUGUCCCAUGAGGAUGUGUAUGGUUUCUAUUUUGUUGGAACAAGUUGACAUUAUUCUUAGAAUGAAUUGGUUGGAGUUAAACCAAGUGGUUACCAAUUGUUUUGAUAAGUUGCUGCAGUAUGCCACUGAUUGUAAGAGCUCAUGUGAUGUUGAAGUUGUGUUGUUCCUAACAUUGAAGAUGAUGUGGAUUCGAGAUUCCUGUCUACUGGUCAAGUUGGGAAGUCUUUAGGGAAAAUGAUCAGGUAUUGUUGAUGUUGCUUCUCGGAGAGUAUAGAGCAAUGUGACGACUAGUAUUAUGUCAGUGGUGUGUGAUUCCUAAUGUUUUCUUGAAGAUAUCUACGAGUUGCCUCUAGAGAUUGAAUCUGAGUUUGAUGGAGGUGAAAAGUUUACGUUUGUAUCAGCUAAGCAAGUGAGAGAGUAUGUGAAGGAUAUGGCACAAGUGAUUGUGAUGUUAGCUUCAUUAGAAGCUAAAGGAAAGGUAAUAGUUCAUGAUCUUCCUGGAGUGUGUGAAUUUCUUGAAGUGUUUCCUGGAGACAUCAGUGAUUUACCUCCAGAACGUGAAGUAGAGUUUGUCAUCGACUUAGUACCAGGUACGAGUCCGGUGUCAAUGGCUUCUUAUAGAAUGUCAGCUUCAGAGUUGGGUGACUUGAAGAAACAGUUGGAAGAAUUUCUUGAGAAGAAGUUUGUUCAACCAAGUGUUUCUCCGUGGGGUUCACCUGUGUGACUAGUUAAGAAGAAUGAUGGAAGUAGGAGAUUAUGUGUUGACUACAGGAAGUUGAAUAAAGUGACUAUCAAGAAUAAGUAUCCAUUUCCAAGAAUUAAUGAUUUGAUAGAUCAGUUGGUUGGUGCUUGUAUUUUCAGCAAGAUAGACUUGAGGUCUGGUUAUCAUCAUAUUCGUGUUAAACUAGUUGAUAUUCCAAAUAUAGCAUUUAGGACAAGAUAUGGUCACUAUGAGUAUAUUGUAAUAUCGUUUGGAGUACCUAAUAUGCGAUGCGUGUUCAUGGAGUAUGUGAAUCAAAUAUUUCAUCCAUAUUUAGAUGAGUUUGUGGUGGUCUUUAUCGAUGACAUUUUGAUAUAUUCGAAGUAUGAUAAGGAACAUGUUGAACAUCUGAAGAUUGUGUUGUAGGCGUUGAGAAAGAAGAAGCUUUAUGCCAAGCUAUCCAAGUGUGAGUUUUGGUUGGAGGAAGUGAGUUCCUUGGCCAUGUGAUUUCAAGUGGUGGAAUACCUGUAGAUCCUUCUAAGGUUGAUGUUGUAUUGCAGUGGGAGACUCCGAAGUCUGCUACUGAGAUUCGAAGUUUCCUUGUCCUAAUUGUUUUUUAUUGCAGGUUUGUAGAAGGCUUCUCAAAGUUAGCACUGCCUUUUACUCAGUUGACUUGAAAGGGUUAAGCUUAUGUGUUGGAUGUUGCAUGUGAAGAAAGUUUUGUUGAACUCAAGAAGAAGUUGGACGUUUUCUCACGUUUUGAUUUUGUCGAAUCCAAGUGAGUCCUUUGUUGUAUAUUAUGAUGCUUCGAAGAUGGGUCUGGGGGGUGUUGAUGCAUAAUGGUCAGGUUGUGGCUUAUGCUUCGAGGUAGUUGAAAGUUCAUGUGAGGAAUUAUCCUACGCAUGGUAUGGAGUUAGCAGUUGUGGCUUUUGUGUUGAAAAUUUGGAGACAUUAUCUUUUUGGUUCUAGAAUUGAGGUGUUCAAUGAUCACAAGAGCCUGAAGUACCUAUUAGAUCAGAAAGAAUUGAACAUGAGGUAGAGAAGAUGGCUUGAACUUCUGAAGGAUUAUGUUACCAUCCUGGUAAGGCUAAUGUUGUAGCUUAUGCAUUGAGUAUGAAGUAUUUGCACACGUCAAUGCUUAUGGUUUGAGAGUUGGGAUUGAUUGAGAAAUUCAGAGAUAUGAGUUUAGUAUGUGAAGAAACUCCUAACAGUGUGAAGUUGGGUAUGUUGAAACUGAUCAAUAGUAUUCUUGACGAGAUCAGAAAAGGACAGAAGAUCGACUUGGGAUUGAUUAACUGGUUAGUGUUGAUUAAUCGAGGUGAAGGCGGUGACUUCAAGAUUGACGAGAAUGGUGUGAUGAGAUUCAGAGACGUAAUUUGUGUUCUAGAUGUGUUUACUCUUAAGAAGAGUAUUCUUGAGGAGGGACACUGUGGUAAGCUGAGUAUCCAUCUAGGUGCGACCAAAAUGUAUCAAGACUUGAAGAAGAUAUUUUGGUGGCAAGGGAUGAAGAAAUAGACUGUUGAAUUCAUAUAUGCUUGUUUGACUUGCCAUAGGUCAAAGAUUGAACAUCAGAAGCCUUGGGUAUGAUGAAUCCGUUGAAUAUUCCUGAAUGGAAAUGGGAUAUUAGUUCCAUGGAUUUUGUAAUAGGUUUGUUGAAUACUUCGAAGGGAUGCGAUUCUAUUUGGGUGAUUGUUGAUAGAUUGACCAAAUCGGCUCAUUUUAUACCAAUGAGGAUCAAUUAUCCUGCGGGAGCUGGCUGAAUUGUAUAUUGAUGAGAUUUUGAAGUUGCACGGUAUUCCUUCAAGUAUUGUGUCAUAUAGAGAUCUGAGAUUUACAUUGAGGUUCUGGAAGAGUAUGCAGGCUGCUUUGGGUACUAAGUUAAAGUUGAGUUCUGCUUAUCACCCGCAGACGGACGGUCAAACAGUGAGGAUUAUCCUGUCUUUGGAGGAUUUGUUAAGGGCUUGUGUGCUAAAACAAGGAGGUGCUUGGGAUAUCUAUUUGCCGUUAAUUAUGUUUACCUACAAUAAAAAUUUCCAUUCUAGUAUCGGAAUGACACCAUAUGAGCGUUAUACGGUAGGAGGUGUAGAACACCUUGUGUUGGUAUGAGUCAAGCGAGAGUGUUUCGCUCGAACUUGAGAUUGUUCACCAGAAAACUAAAAAAAUCAAGAUGAUCCAAUAAAAGAUGAAAGCAUUGCAGAGUCAUCAGAAAAGUUACCUAGACAAGAGGAGGAAAGCACUUGAGUUCCAGGAGGGAGAUCACGUAUUUUUUAGAGUUACGCCGGUAACUGGUCUUGGUCGAGCUUUGAUGUCUCGAAAGCUCACGCUGUGUUUUGUUGGUCUAUACUAGAUUUUACAGAGGAUAUAAUAGGUGGCCUAUCAGAUUUCUUUGCCAUCGCCGCUUGCUAAUCUUUAUGAUGUGUUUCAAGUGUCUCAGUUGAGGAGAUACAUUAUGGAUCCGUCUCAUAUGAUUCAGGUGGAUGAUGUGCAGGUGAGAUAUAACCUGACUGUUGAGGCAUCGCCCAUAUGGAUAGAGGAUCUGGAAGUGAAGCAGUUGCGUGGUAAAGAGAUUUCCUUAGUGAAGGUAGUUUGUGGUGGACCAUCUGGUGGGAGCAUGACUUGGGAGCGUGAGGAGCAUAUGACGUAGUUGUAUUCGACUUUGUUUUCCUCAAGUAAUUUUUUAGGGCGAAAAUUUUGUAAGUGGGGGAGAGUUAUAACACCUCAUUUUCAAUUAUUCAAUUUUAUUGAAUUAUUUAUGAAUUAUGUGUAAGGUGUGUUUUGAUGGAUUGGGUCAAUUAAAAUAGUUAAGUGGUGUAUAAAUUAGUGGAAUUAUUUAGAGUUCUUUUAAUGAUUAAAUAAGAAGGUUAUUUGUUUAAUUAGGUGAAUGUAUAUCAGAAUAGUUAGCAUUUUAAUUAUUAUUAGAAAUAAAUAGAGAAAUUGAUAAAAAUAAGAAUUAGGUCAAUUGUGUGAAUUGAAGAAAGUUUGUGGUAAGAGGAGAUGAGCUAUAAUUAAUUUGGACAAUAAUAAUAAUUAGGAAAAUGUAAGGAGGUUACUAUAUAUUCUAAAAGUUGGGAAAAUUAGGUUUUUAGAGAAACCAUUUGACAGUACGUAGAAUUGGAGAACAAAAUAGGAAAAUGCAAGGUUUACUAGAGGUAAAAGAAGAGGGAUUCAAGAGAGAAUUGCAUCACUUGCUAUGAAUUCAGGUAAGGGUGGGAAAUUAUUUCAAUAAUAAGGGUAUAUGCAUGAAGGAUAGGGUAGAAGAGUCCUCAAACUCCAAUAGGGUGUUUGGGAUUUUACUAAAUUAUGAAUUUUUAUGAUAUCUUGAUGUUAUAUGUUGUGAUUAUUGAUGAUUUUCGUGCACUAUGUGUGGUUGUAUUUUCUGUUUUGAAUGUUGGGAUAAUUUCACCAUUGUUGAGAGUUUCGAAGGUUUAUGGAAUUGAUAAAGUUAUGAAUUAUAUGAUUUAGUUGAUGCCAAUAUGUGAUAAAUCAUAAAUUUGAUGUUUUAAUCAUUGGAUAAGUGUUGGGUUUCGAAUUCUGAGAUCGGGACUUUUUACGGAAUCAAAAUUGGAGGUCCGGAAGGCCUCCAACGGAGAAAAAUAAGCUUUUAGGUUAUUCUUCAAACCUGUAAUCGGUUACCGGUCUGAGUGUAAUCGAUUACCACUUGAAAAAUAGGUUUUGGGGCUGUUUUUGAAGCCUGUAAUCGAUUACCGGUUUAGCAUAAUCAAUUACCACUGUUACGUGAAAAAUUUAGAAAAUUGAAAAUGACGUAACUUGAGCUUCGUAGCUCCGUUUCACGUGCGGUUUGAAGCGUUAGAAAGAUAAUGCAUAUUACUAUCUCAUGGUGAUGCCUUAAGAGAAUAAAUAUUAUGUAUUUAACAUUGAAUUAAUUGGUAAUGCAUUAUUAUUGUAGAUGCCUUAGUUGUUAUAUGGCAUUUGUUUAUGUGAAAGUUGCAAUUGUCGAUUUUCCGUGUUUUGUUGGUUAUUGGGUACUAUUAGCUUCCGUAUGAUGUUGUUUUGAUGUCAAUUGUUAAUUUAUCAUGAUUUUAAUCGGUAUGAUGUAGGGAUUGAUUAAUGAUGAAUAUAUGCCAAUGAUAAAUGAUUGAUUAAGCAUGAAUAAUUAUUGUGUGACAAUAAUGUUGUUAUGUCGGUGUUGCUAUAAUGAUGUUAUUAAGAUGAUUGUGUCGAUGUUGUUGUGUUGGUGUUUUAUGAUGACAAUAUGAACAAGAUGAAAUUAUGUUGAUGAUGUGGUGUUGAUGUUGGCAUACACGGUCAAGAGUGGACUGAUGUGUAUGUGUUGAUGAUAUUGUUAUUGUUGCAUGUUGGGAGUCAUGCAUCCAUGUUGUCAGAACUUUAGUUCUAUUUAAUUGGUGAGCCUCGAUCCUAUGGUGAUGGAUCGGGUGCAAGCAGCUAAUUCCUAUUAUGGGGAAUUAGUGAAGCGUUACCUAUGGUGAUGGUAGCGAUUUUGGUGUGCUCCGGUUCCAAGAGGGAAUCGAUCCUAUAGUGGGGAUCAUGGAGUGAAAUGAACUUGAGUGUUCAUAUUUGGUACCACAUGCAUGACGAGUCGGCGUUGAGUCCAUUGCAUAAGUGUUGCAUUUGUAUUGGUUGUGUAUGAUGUUGAUGAUAAUUGAGAAGUUGGUUCGUAUGAUGUUGAUGAUAAUUGAGAAGUUGUUGUGUAUGAUGUUGAUGAUGAUUUGGGUGUGAGAAUUACAAUAUGUUGUUGUGAAUGAUUAUGUUGAGUGUAAUCUAUCUUUCAUGUUAUGUCUUUUAUAAUUGAUUGUGAUUUCUCACCCCUUCUGUUUGAAUGUUGCCUCUACGUGGGCAUCGUGUGGAUAUCCAGGAGUAGACCCUAUUGAAGUAAGUGGAAGACAGUUUUGUAGUGGCUUCCAUUAGUUAUCGUUAUGUAGUGGAAUUUUGCUCUGAUCGUGUAACAUCGGGUUGGGGUCGAAUGUUUGGAUUAAAUUAUAAUGUUUUAUGAUGAAUCAUAUUAUGUUGAAUAUUUUAAGUUGUUGAGUUGAACUAUUUACGACUCUUUAUGAUGUUUUUAAAAUUGAAGUUUAAGAUUAAAUGUUGUAUGCUCUUCUACCUUCUUUGAAUGUUGAUGUUGAAUUCUGAUGCGAUGAUACCUAAAUGAAGGUGAGCAUGCGAUGACAGAUUAAUUUGUUAGUUGUAACCCGUGUUACGGGGCAUGAUAGCUUAUCUUUUAUGAAGUGUGACACCCUUGUGUUGGUGAUUGUUUAAUUAAUUCCGUUAAUUAUACGUAGGGUUUAUAAGGGUGUUACAAUUGGCGCCUUCCUUUAAGCUUUACACAUGGGCGCCAAUUGGAUUGACAACGCCAGGAGCCCUAGCCAAUCCAACUGGCGCCUCCUCUCUAAAUUUAAGAAUAUGCGCCAAUUGAAUUGGCGCCACCUCUUAAAAGUGGAAUAGAUUGAAGAAAAAAAAUUAAAUCAAAAUUAUUUUGAAAAUAAAAAUAAAAAUCAGAGAUAUUUUAGUAAAAAAAAUCACAAGGUUAUUCUCAAAAUGGGUUACUUAUCCCAACAAAUUAGAUUUUAGAUUUAGUUUUUCUUAGGGGUAUAUUUUGGUUCAUACAAGUUAUAAUGUCGAAUUUAUGCAACUUGAGAAAGAAAGAAAAAGUGUAGACUUUAUGCAACUAGUUAAUUGAAUAAGCCUCUCGGCUUUAAUCCUUACUUUUCUCUUUUUCUUUUCACAUGUUAUUCAAUGAAAAUGUUUUUUUGGUAUUCAUAAGACCCCUCCAAUUUUAUUUAUAAGAGAUAAAUUACAUUUUAAAUUUAUUUAAUAAUUAAUAUAACUGAUAUAAUAAUAAAUAAAAUAUAUUAAUUAUUUAAUAAAUUUAAAAAGUUAUUUAUCUCUUAUAAAUAAGAUUGGAUGGAGCAGUAGUUAAUAUUUUAUUCUUUAUUAGUUUAAUACAUAAAAUAGUAUAUUAUGUUAACUCGACUAUCCAAUUUGCUUGCUGGGAUCAUAAGUCAUUGAAUAGAUUAAGUUUAUAUUAAAAUCGAAUAGCUAAUAUUUUCUUUGUAUCAUAAAACUUUUUAUAUAAAUGAAAAGAUAAUAUUAGUUUUAUUAAAUUAAUUUUUAAUUAUUGAUUGAUUCUAAGUAUGCAAAGUUUAAAAUGAUAAUAUGAGAGUAAUACAUAUAAUACUAAUUAUAAAGUAUGGUUGAAAAAAGAUGAUUAAUAAUAAAUGACAAUUAUUUUGCAUAUAAUAUUAUUAUCUUUAAAAUAUAGUUGAAAAAAGAGUGAUUAAUAUUACACCACAAUUAUUUUGAAAUAAAAAAAUAUUAUUAAAUUCAAGACAUUCCACUUUAUAUUUAAUAAGGUGGAUUUCAUUCACUAAACUACUUAACUAAAAAAAUUACAAACAAAUAAAAAUCUACAUAUUUAACAAAACUCAAUUAGUGAUUUAAAAACUCUUUAAAAGAGAAAAUCAAUAAUUCAACUCCUAUGGUGUUUGUUUCAAGGUUGAAAAAAUAUUUUUAAAAAUAUUAUAAUAUUUUGAUUCAACUUUUAAAAAAUAUUUUAAAAUAUUUUUUAUUCUAAAGAACUGUGUAUAUUUAUGUGUAUUCCAAAGCUUAAAGAAGAGAAAUAAUUCCCAUUAAAAUAAAUACAAACAACCAUAACUUUCCUAUAUCACUCAUAUUUACUAUUAUUUUUAUUAUUUUAAAUUAAACAACUUUAUAAUAAUAAUCCCAGAUAUAUCAUUCCAAGAAAUAUAAUAUUAAACUGUAACAUAGUUUUAAUUAAUAAAUUAAAAAAUUACUUUAAUUAAAAAAUAUGUAUUGGCUCGAAUAAAAAUAUGAAUAGCAUAACAAAAGAAACACGAUCUAAUAAAUACAUAGUUACAAACAAACCCAAUAUUGACAUAAUAGAUAAGGAGAGAUUGCCUAUGCAUUAUUAUGGUAGGUAUACUAAACACUCUUUUACUUCAUGUUGAUUAAUCAUGGAUUAGAGACUCGUAAAAAUAUUAUAAAUGGAUUAAAGAUAUUUUAAAUAGUUAACAGUUGACAACUGCUGUAACCAAGGCAACAAUUAAACGCUAACCAGUGCCAUAAACAAAAUGCACUGUAAAGUAAAAUUUAACUCACUUUAUCAUUUAGGACUCUAAUGUUACAAUCCCUUUACAAAUACACUAGUAUACAUUCGUCGAGCCUACUAAUUAUCAUUGCUAUCCCAACACAUAAAUCAAAUGUUCAAUGAACCAUUUCGUAAAUUACAAUACUAAAGAACAGAAUCUCAAUUUCCUUUCAUGGAGCCCCUAAUCCCCUGGUCUCUUAUAAAAGAAAAAGAACGAACUCAAAUAAAAGCAAUAUGAUCAUCUUAUUAUAUCAUUUUCAUAGGAAAUAAGAAAGCAUUUGAAACGGGCCAUACUGGUUAGUGCAUCAUCAAUAUGUAGUGCUAGGUGAAAGCACAUGCUAGUGUGAUUAGAAUGUGUUAACAUCUUCUAAGCUUCCCCUUUUCUUUUUUUACCCUCUCCAUGUCUUGACCGCCUAGGUGCCUCGUCUUCGCUUUCACUAUCGUCAUUCUUGUCAUCCUGUUGUGACUUGUAUCCUUGUUGAUACUGCAUGUCAUCAUCAGGACCCCCACUUUGACUGAGCAUGUCUUGACUCUUACCUUGCUCUGGUCCUGAACUGUACCUAUCAUUUCGAUCACUUGUUCUUUGAUCUCUCUUGGCAAUGCGGUUCAUAUUUUGUGGUGGAGGCGGAGGUGGUGGAAACAUCGGAGGCAUAUUCACUGGCCUACCACCUCUUGCUGGGUUGGGACCUGGAACCCCCAUUCCCCCCAUAAAGGGACCGCGUCCAUGAUUCAUCAUCAUCCCAAACCCACCACCAGGAAACAUUCCAGGUUGUGAGGGUCGCCCUCGGAACAUCAUGGCAGCUGGGGGGCCUCCAAAAUCACCGGAGAAUCUAGGACCGUAUGGACCAAAACCCCGGGGACCCAUGCCAAAGAGAUCCGGCAUACCAAAACCAUCAGGUCCAGGAGGCCCGUAGGGUAAUCCAUCACCCAUCAUUACCGGAUUAAAACCUUGCAUUCCAGGCAUGGGUCUGGCUCCGCGUCCGAGAUGCAUGUGAGGGGGCCACAUCAUACCUCUGCCCCUACCUCUGCCUUGAACAACUGGCCCUACACCAUUACCAAAGCUCUCCUCCUCUUCAUCACUUUCUUCCUCUUCCUCUUCUUCAUUGUCUUCGAAUGGGACAAUAUCUGGAUUUUCUCCUUCAUUAUCUGGAUUCACCCCCUUUGCCUUCUCCUCUUCUCGUUUAGACUCAGCUGCAAUCGAGAUAGCCUGUAAACAUGGCAAAGAAUACAAGACUAAAUCAAUUCUUAAAGCAUAACGGGCAAUGGUUUUAUGCAUCCCAAACCCAUUCAUUAAAAUAGGCAAAUCUUUACAGAUAACUGACACACUUGGCAUGAAACCAAGUAUUAACUGUUGAUUAGAGCUUCUUUUAAACAGAUAAUCUAAUGAAACAGUAAAGAAAAGAUACUCAAAGAAAAACAUUAGACAAGUCUUGUCGUUUACUCUAAAGGAGAUUGGAUCAUCUAAAAAGGAAUUGUAAAAUAUGUAAGAGAUAUCUAGGAUGUGGCAAGGCCUGGGACACAAACUCAACUGUAAAAGUUUUUGCAGGGACCUGUACUUCUUAAAAUUUUAAAUAAGAGCCUAUGGGUUAUGAAGUUUUCAAGUAGAUUACUACUAGUUAUUAAAUUUUAUAAUUUAGUCCCUAAAAUAGCCCUCAGCCAGUAACUGUAUAAAAAAAAUUAGGUGUAUAUGACCUAGUUAAAAACUAUUAAAUUAUGAAACCUAUUUGAAAUUAAGUCAAAUUAUUGGUAUAACGAGUCUAUAGAGUACUUAAUUUUAGUCUAACCAGUAAAUUUAUUGUAGAUUCUACCCCCUUCAGUUAUUCCUUUCUUCUAAACUUUAUAUAGUUGUGUUCCCUAAAACUUUAGAAUUGAUAAUUAUCGAAGAAAAGACCUUUAAUAUUUUAUCACAACCUUUGAGAAUUGAAGCUCUUAUAUUGGUACUUCAUUGAUAGAAGUUCAUAAUGCAGUUAGAGAAUCUGUCAUUGUAUUUCAUAAUCAUAGUGAUACAAUGAACACUCUAUAUAUAGAGAGUGGGAAAGCUAUAACAAACUGUAACAAACUAAUACAGCUCAGCACUAUUAAUCAUAGAAACUAAUAAAUCCCUAUCUAUUCUAUAUCUAUCAUUCAUAUUCCGGCAUGUCAGAUUUAACCUUUAUCUGAGAGAUUGGCUAGCCACUAAGGAGAUUCAAGAGCCAGGACCAUGCAUGCCCUUGACCAAGCACACAAUUACACUCGAAGUUCUUCUUUCCAUAACAUCGUACAAGGUUCAGAAAAAUGCCCUUGACCUCUCAUACAACAGCCUAAUUAGGGCUCCAUAUAUUUCAGAGUCACAAGAUCACUAUAGAAAGAUAUAGAGUUAUAUUCUUCGUCAUUAUUUCACAGUCUUUCUCUCCCUUCACUACUUAUGGCUGACGAUUUCAGCAAUAUGCUAUUUGUAGCAUAUUUGAACCAGUUGUAUAGUCUACCAAAAAUAAAUAAGUGAUAAUACUGUCGUGUGCAUUUAUUACAAAGACUUUAGAACAAGAUAACAAUUGUUGAUAUUUGAUACCAACCUCAUAAUCCUGUUUUAAAAGUUUCUUAGAAAGAAAGAUCCAUUCAGGAAAAGAAAAAACAUAAUACAAAUCAAAAGUAACUUAAUCAUUUUAUUUUUCUUCAUUUGUACAUAACAAAUCUAUAGUAAUUCCCAUGCACCCAAAAAAAUAGAGAAAUUAUGUUUUAACAUUAAGUAUGACAACAAAAAUCGACAAUAAUUUAACUGCCAUUCAAAUAUGUUGUUAACUACGUCUAGUAGAGGGUUAAAGAAUAUAACAAGUUGCAACAACUCAUUAAGUAUUAACCAUCAACUGGCCGUAAUUAACCACGACUUUGAACGAUAUUAACCAUAGUUUUUAGUUGUUCAAAUAUAUAUGACAUUCAUUAAAACCAUCAAAAACAUAUUCAAAUAAACAUGAUUCUGAGAUUUUCAACUAUACAUCAUAUUUAUUAACCACAAUUUGUAUUCAGAUAUACACUCGAAAAUCAUGGUUAAUCUUAGAAUUUGGGUUGGAUCAAACUCAUCCCUACAAAACUGGCUUAUGAGGUGAGGAUUUCUCUCACUUUUAAACACAACACAGGUCAUAUCUCUAAGCAAUGUGGGGCUAAAUCCACCCCUUCAAACCCAACACGAUAAAGGUGUUGGAGGCUGCAAUAAAGGCAAGCCUAAUGCAACAAUUUAGGCAACUAGGGGCAGACCGCCGUGAAGGUGAAAAUCCCAACACUUAAUGACAUUCAAAAUUGUGAUUAAAUGUGAUAUGUUGAUGGUUAAUGAGUUGCAAAGCCUUGUUAUAUUCAUUAAACAUCUACUAAACCUAAUUAACCAUGUAUUUGAAUUGUAUUAACCGUCUAAAUUGUAGUUGAAAUUUGGUGUCCCUUUUUUUCCAAAUAACACUUCCCAAAAUAAUAAUGAUGACCACUCAGAGAACAUACCAUAAGUUCGCUAUCUGGUUCAACAUAAAGCAAGGAUGCCAACUGCUCACCAAUAGAGGGUUCCAGCUCCUGACAAUCUCUACUUAUCUGCAAUUACAUAACCAAGAGAAUAUUUAGUAAUUACUAAUUGUCACUGUUAGGAUAUAGGAUAAGGAGUUUAUUAGAAUUUGAAUUGUUAGGAUAUAAUAAUGACGUGUUUAGAAAUUAGUUAGAGAAUCUUGUAUAAAUAGGAGAAUGCAUAGAAAGAGGAGUAUCAUUAAAUAUUGUAUCUUUUAUGAAUAGAGUAGUGACUCUACUGUUGAAGGGCCCUUAGAGGAAAGUUUUCUCUCCUAUUCUUUAAUAUUUUCUUAAUACAUUUGUUUCUUUCUUUUCCACUCACUUCUUGGGGUUCUGAGAAUUGAUCCGACAUGUCGAAUCGUCAAGGAGUGAUGUUGGUUAAAAAGGAAGCAGUGAUGUCAAGAUUUGACGGAUGCAGUAAUGCUCAUUGGAUAUUGAUCCAAUUCAUGAGGAAAAAUGGUUAUCAUGGGUUUGGCUGGGACUGGAUGGAGAAGUUCACUGGUGGUGGCUUUCUUGGAGGAAAAUUAUUCAGAAUUUGGAGUUUUACACCUUUGAGAAGGCUUUGUACAUAAAAUUCAAACCAGGGAUUCAUUUUCAAGAUUAAGGGGAAGAAAAACUAGAGGCAAAAGCAGAAUUCAGCAAAGAAAAUGAAUCAAAAGAGGAGGAGCAUCCCCCCAAUCAGUCAAAUACUAGUGGAUAGCGGGAUAGCCGCUAUUGUAAAGACUAUGAACUAGUGUACAAAGUAAAUAUCGAUCAACAACAACCAAGCCUUAUCCCAUUGAGUGAGGUCGAUUAUAAGGAUCAAAUUCCGUCAUAAUAUUCAAUCCAAAACCAUGUCUUUAUCCAAUUCGUAAUCUCGAGAUCUUUUUUAAUAGUUUCUCUUAUAGUUUUUCUAGGCCUUCCUCUACCUCUAGUUGUUAGACUCUUCUCCAUCUAAUCUACUCUUCUUACAACAGAAUCUACAACUUUUCUCUCUACACGCCCUAGCCAUCUAGGCCUAGUUUUCACCAUCCUUUCUGCUAUAGGUGCUACCCCAACACUCUCAACUAUUGUCAUUUCUAAUCUUAUCACGUCUAGUCUUACCACACACCCAACGCAGCAUCCUCACAUCUGCUACACUUACUUUAUUCUCGUGUUGAUUCUUGACCUCCCAACAUUUUGUCUCAUACAACAUCGCAGGUCUUAUCAUUGUCCGAUAAAUUUUUCCCUUCAACUUGAGUGGUACUUUUGUAGCACAUAAAACCUUUGAGGCUCACCUCCUCCAUUUCAGCCAUUCAGCUUGAAUUAUAUGGUUUACAUCCCCUUCUAUUUCUCCAUCACUUUGUAUUACGGACUCAGGAUAUCUAAAUUGUGUGACAUGUGAGAUGAUAUAGUCUCCAACUUUCACCUCUAGGUUAGAAACGCUUCUCUUUUUGCUGAACUUACAUUCCAUAUACUCCGUCUUACUUCUGCUUGGGAGAAAGUCAUGUGCUUCUAAGACUCGUCUCCAACCUCUCAUUUAAAUUUUCCUUUGACUCUAUAGGUAGGAUUAUAUCAACUGCAAAAAGCAUAUAUCUCGGUGCUAGCUUUUGAAUGUGUUCCGUGAGUACAUCCAAAAUUAAAUAAAAAAGUAGGGACUUAGAGUUGAACUUUGGUGCAAUCUUAUACACAAUUAAAGAGAAUGUCAUACUUAAUUAAAGAACCUAAAGUACAUGGCAACAAAGCUUAAAAGAAGAGUAACAUAAGCAUUGAACCAAAAAAAUAUGAAGAACAAAAUGAUUGUUUGUUAGCAAGAACAUAACCGAAUGAAGAAUUGAACAUUACCCAUAAAAGGGUUCAAAUUGACAUUUAUACCCUUGAACAAUGUUUUUAAAAAAAUUGAGGACUAUGAAAACAGAAUUAACUACUAUCUAAGAAAAAGGAUCCUAUCAAGUAAAUCAAAUAUUAAAUACAAAGUAUAUUUACACUCAAUAAUUAACACUAACCUAAAAAGCUUUUUAGUAUAGGAAUAUUGAAAGUAACCUAGGAAGUUGAACGGUCCACCAAUAUUGGCAGCUUUCCUUAACUCUAACACUCUUUUUCAAGUUGGAGCAUACAUGUUAUAUGUACCAAGAUUGUUACAAAUAGAUUCAAUCCAAAGUCCUCUAAGGGUGGUAACUUGUCAUCUAGUUGAUCAUUUGAACCAACGAAAUUAGUUAAGAUUUUUAUCUCUUACAAGUGGCAAUCUGUCUCUAUGAGCUUAUUUCUUUAAGAAAAACUGGCUUGGAAGUAAUAUGUAAUGCAACUUGGUUGUCACACAUUAGUUUCAUUGCCUUACCGUCUUCUAAUUUGAGUUGUUAGAGUAACUGUCUUAGUCAUGGGAGUUCACAAGUUGUUGCAGCCAUAGCACGCUAUGCUUCGGCACUAGACCUUGCAACUAUGUUAUGCUUCUUGCUCCACCACGAGAUCAAAUUUCCACCAACAAGAAGAUAAUACCCUGAAGUGGACUUUCUAUUUGCUAGUGAACCUACCCGAUCAUCAUCAGAAUAGCCAAAAACUUGAGUGUUACCCUUGUUUUGAUAAAGUAAUCCUUUACCUAGUGCACUCUUUAUAUACCUUAGAAUGCAAAUCACAGUGUUUUCCACGGAGCAUUAGAAAGUAUAGCUUAUAAGUUUCUUUAAAAUGGACCUUUUUCAAGGUAUAGCUUUCAUGAAAAGUGGCAAAAUAAAAGAAAUACCUGUGACAUUUUUCUUUUAAUUAACCACUUUUCAUAGUAUAGCUUAUUAAGCUUGUUAAAAAUGGAUCACUUUUUACAAAUACAAAAAAUAAAAAAUAAAUAAAUAAAAGCUAGCCAAACAAUUAAGAUCUGUCAACAUGGGUUAGGCGUGGUAAGCCAGUCCCGCUCUAACCACUUUUUUAGGUUAUUAGCAAAAAAUAUUAACCCCCUCAGAGGAUGGUAAUGGUAUCAGGAAAGAAGCUCACUGAGAAGAGAGAAACGAGAAAUAUCACUAACAGUAUUGAUCUGAAGAAGAUUGUGGCAGUAGUGAACCAAAUAGCCCACUAAUAAACAUGAACUGGAAAGGAAAAGUUUCUUGAGCGGUUAUUUGGCAAGAGAGGUGGCUAAUCAAAGGAAGAAAAUAAUCGUGGAAAUAAAUAAGAGUUCUUAAUUUUAUGAAACUUACAAUAGACAGAGAACAGUCCCAUUCUGAUACCAUGUUAAAACUAGUCUAUAACUGAUACCAUGUUAAAUUAUAAAGGAGGAAAAGAUAAAAAUAAAAGAGCUAGAACAAUUUUCUCUUCUGUAAUUUAAUGUGAUAUAAAAGACAAAGCACUAAGCUCUAUUUAUACUAAUAUAAAGACUACCAAUCCUAAUUUUUAGAGUAUGUGGAUUGGGUCUAACUCAUCCCUACAAAACCGGUUUUGUAGGGUUGAGUUAGGCUCAACUAUAUUUGUUAACAUGGUAUCAAGAGCACAGUUUAAGAUCCGUUGGACCACCAGCUAUCAAGUUUCCGCUAUCGAGUCACCCGCCAUUUAUUUCCACGCUCCAAAUGUCCACUUUAGAAGUCUAAUUUGAGCAUGGAAAUGUGCCUAUAAGUGGAAAUGUGCCUUAAUGUCCUAGUCAUGUUAACUUCUUCUAAUUUAAGUUGUCUCAUUGACUAAGACUUAUAUGCACAUGUCCACGUUCAAUAUGUCCAUUCCUGGACGUGUGGGUAAGAGGUGUUGAGAGUCUCACAGUGGAUGAAAGAUGAUAUCUUACAAAUCGGUUUUAUAAGAUUGAGUUAAGCCAACUCAAAUUCUAAGAGCACUAUACAAGUUGAUUUCACUUACUCUUUGUUUGGGAGUUUGGAGGGGAAGGGAGGGGAAGGCUUUGAAAAAAUAGAAGAAUAGAGUGAAAAGAAUAGAAGAAUUUAGGUGGGGAGGAUUUUGGAGGAUUUUGUUUCACAAACCAAAAUCCCCCUGACUCGGGGGAACUAAAAAACUGUAUUGGAGAAGGGAUUUGAAGGAUUUUAGAGAGUUUAGACAAAUUGUUCAAAUAUAAUUUACGUUGUUAUAGUAUUCCAAAAAUUUUAAAAAUGUUAUUGAUAACCACUUCUUUGUCAUUCUAUACAAAACCUUUUUUCAAAAAAUGUAUUUUUCUAUAUUUUUCUACAAAACCAUUUUUCGAAACCCUCCCUUCCCCUCCUUUCCAAACUCCCAAACAAAGCCUUACUAACAGUGUGGCCAGACCCAUAUCAACUCUCACUAGUUAAAAGUCAACCAGUUAGUACUGAACACUGCCAAUGGUCACAACUCAACUCACAAAUGACAAAAGACCACACCUGUUUUUAUGUUAUAUUUUAGAAAGAUGUAGGAUUCCUUACUUAGUGGUGAUGCAAAAAAAAAACUACCCAAAAUAACCAAGCAGUAACAGAUAGAGCAUUACCAAGUUAGGUAAAGUUCAAACCACAGCUAUAGGGACAGGAGGACCCAACCCAACAUCAUCUUUAUAAGGAUCACAUCAACAAAUAGAUGGGUUCAAUCCUUGAUAUAUUCAGCGUAGAAGGGAGACCAAAACACAACUUUCAUGUAUAAGAACCACUAAAAGAAUAAACGGUGAAGAGAGAGUAAAGCAAGAACACGAGAAAACAGCUUUUAUUGAGGCUUCAAAGUGGAUCAUAGAGAUGAAAAAGAUAAUACCUUCACUGGUAAGUUUUCAUUGUAUGGAUUUCUCAAAUGGCGAGUUUUGUGGAAUGACAGUUCACAUAACUGCAAAUAAGAAAUGUAAUUAGAUAGACUAUUAUGUACACACAAAAAUAUCAUUAUGCAGUUUCGCAUACAGGUUCAUCAAGAAAUUUUUCAUUAAGACACAAAUGAAUUAAUAAAACCACUUUUAGGAAACCAUUUAAAAAUAUGUUAUUGCUUAGAUAGCUGUUGAGUUGGAUGAGAUAUUAGAAAAAUGUUUUUUUUUUCUUUCACGAUCCAAUAAGAAAAAUAUACUAUUGUAUCCCUAUGAAUAAGGGUUAGUUGUUUAGUCUUCUGUAUCAAGUUAAUAAAAAUCAUACAACACCACUUUCAUAUUCAUAGUCCUUAUUAAUUCUUUGUCCAUAUUUUAUCUAAAAUCCAUAACUUCAACACCAUAGAAUUUGGUUUAAGUUCUUGAAUUCAUGUCCAACAUAUUUGGACCAAAAUUCUAGCUCAAGUUUCGUUCAAGCUUAAUGACACAUAUUUGGUUCUUGAACAUUAUAUUUCUCCUUUCGCCUUUGAGCAAUUUCCAUGUCUCCAUAUAUAUUGGAAAUAUUAAGGAGGCUAAAACUGUAUGACAUUGUAAUUGUAAUUGUGUAAGUCACACAAUUCUCAGGUGUAUUAAGAUUGGAGAGAAUUGUGUGCUCGUUGUGACAAAAUGACAAGAAUCGGGUGCAAAAAAAAUACAGCAGGCACCACUCCACAAGUUCAAGAAAAUUCAGCAAGAACCUCUCCACAUCAUACAGGCAACUGCUUGCAACAAAAGUCAAGGUGCUCCUUUACAUGUUACAUUGCGAACCAAAAUGAAAAGGACAAUUACUUUAAAAAUUUCUGUAGCAUAGCAAUUUGUAAUUUUAGAUUUCCUUUUGCUGCUACAGUCUUAUUAUGUAUGCUUCCGGUAUGUUUGGCUUCGAUAUGGGGAUUAUUGCUAUCCCUCAGAUAAAUUAACUGGGGAAGUUGAUGGAAGAGUUUUUGUACCUUCAACCAUUUAACAGAGAAAUUCCGCCCAUAAUGUGCCGUUCCAUGAGCAUAUUUCCAGUUCCCCCCAGGAACAGAACCACCAAUUCUGGAAGUCAUCUUUGCACAACCCUGCCAAAAUAUAGAAAGGUUUAGGUCCAUGGCUUUGCCACAGCUAAAGAGAGUCGUCCAAUGGUUCUUUUUUCACUGGAAAAAUAUCAAGUCCUCAAAUCAUAAAGUUAAGUGUUAAAUGCCGGUGGGGAAGAGCAUCACAGUCAAACAUGAUGUUCCUAAAUUAUUCAAGUAAUCUAUUUAGUGCAUAUAAUUAUAAUGCAUAUUUGAAAAUUCUAUGACAUCCCUCUUGUCUUGUUAAACUAUUAGCAAAAGACCAUUUAACAAGCAAGCAACAAUACAUAAUUAAUUCGGUCAAUGCAUUUUUCUCUUGUAUAAUAAAACAUCAAGUUUAAAUAUCAAAACAAAAUGAAAGAAGCAAACGAAAUCAAGUCCAUAUUGCUACUUUUCUUCUGUCUCAAAUUAUUUGUUCUUUAAGAAUAUCAAUGCAACAUUUAUUAACUUUUUCCAUUAACAUACCCUUAUUUAUUGUAUUUUAAUUCAUCUAACUACUUCACUAACUACUAUUAACACGGAUAUUUUAGUAAGUGAAACUCAUUUUAUCAUUAAAAUCAAUACAACUAUUACUUAUCUUAAAAAAUGUACAAAACUCAAAGGAAACAAAUAACUUGAGACGGAGGGACUACCUAUUAAUUUAUCAUCUUAAUACUACAACAACAACAACAACAAAGCCACAUCCCACUAAGUGGGUCGGCUACAUGGAUUAAAUGACGCCAUAAUGUUCUAUCAAAAUCCCUUUUCACUCACAAACUGAGUUUCUUGUAGGCACAUUAAGUUGAUCCUCCUCCUAACAAAAGUGUCCACUAUUUCCAUAGAUGUUUUUGUCAAAACACCUAUGUUCCAUGUUCCAAAACGAAUCCUACUCUUGUUGACUAACUUCUUUACUCACACUCGAUAAUGAAAAUGUGGGAACUCUUUUCUAUUUUUCAAUGCAUCCCGGCAACAAUGCAGCAGCCAUUACUCACUUAACAUUGUACUCGAGCUAUAUAGCGUGUUGCUUCCGGGUAACAACUUAACAUUCACAUUAUUACAUAUUUGAUCUAUGUCCUAAAGAUUCAACCAAAUUUUACAUUGGCUGUCGACAGCCUAACACAGCCAUCUCCUUUGAUUAUCAUCUUAAUAAUCAAAUAUAAUCAAAUAAAUUUAAAUGCAUCCAACUUUUCAAAAAGGUGUUGAAUAUUUUAAUUUCCACAUUCCAUUGGAUAACAAGGAGAUCAUUAGCUUAAAUCCAUAAUUUAACAAUUGUAGCCAAGUGAGGGGCAAAAUUGUAAACAUACCUGGAAAUGUCGAGUACGGUUGACUGAGAAAACCAAUAUCACAUUUUCUACAGAGUCAAAUGCUUCAUUUAGUUUUGAUUCAUUGCUCCUUUGAGUUGCCCAUACUCCUUGUUGUACAGAUAACUCCAAAUUUUCACGAUUGCAACUCUUAACAAUAAAAUACCUAAGGUUUUUAGAAAAUUUUAUAAGUUUAAUCAAUAUGGGUAAGAAAAUUGUGAUUCCACCAAAGUUAUAUCCAUUGGAUAAUUGGUUAAAAAUUGAACACAAACCACUUAUGACAACUUAUCCAUCUUUUAAAAUUAUAGACCUCAUCGCCGUCUAUUAAUCUCAUUCGGUAAUGGUCACCUGAUUAGAAUAAUGCACCAGGUAAAACUAAUUCACGGUCUAGCAUAAGAGCAACACCAAGUCUUUAUUUGUGUGAGAAAUAGAAGACAACUUAAUAAUUAACAAGAAAACAGAGAAAACUAUAAUAACAGAAAAGAAUUAUAAUAUAAAAAUUAAGAAGAUACUCUGAACUUUUCUUCUUUUAAAGUCCAAAAAAGUUACUAUUUGAUUAAAAAAAUCCUUCUCACUUGCUCCAAAUCAAACUUUUAAUCUUCAUUUUGUAAGUUAUGGACUGCAAAAGCAGACUGACAUUUUUUUAUAAUAAUUAGUGAAGAACUUAAUCCUCAGUUUAUCCAAAUAUCAUAUUUCUAAGAUAAAUUAGAAACCAGACUCUGGAUUUUGUACAGUUUUUCUAGUUAAGCUUAAAUGCUCUUUAAGCAUGUUUUGUUUGCAUAUGAAAAACUAAGUCCCUAGGACUUUAUCAUAACAAGCUAGGUCUUGGAGCUUCGAUUUGGUCACACGAUCGAUGGGUUUCGAUACUUUGAUUACAAAAACAGCUUAAAUGUUUUAAAGUUAAAAUCAGUGAUACAGAAUAUGCAAAAAUAAUCAACUAGACAUGUGUGUAAUUUAACAGCCAAUAGCAUACAACAUGAUAUACAUGUGUAGACUGCCAAGUGAAUAGCAGCAUUCAUAGGAGAAUCCAACUGUAUAAGGCAAAUGUUGUUAUGAUAUCCCAAACAAAAUAAUACUUAAAUGUUUAUUCCUUGCUUGUAAUAUUUAAUAUUUAUGUAACUAUAAGCAUAUUUUACCAAAGCCAACUGAAAACUACACGAAUCUAACACACCUAGAUAUUCCCUGAGGUAAAGGAGUUGAUGUUCGAUUGGCUUGAUUGGUCUGGCCAUUAGCAAGAUUUUGCACUUGGUUCUGGCUGACUUGCUGCUGAGGUUGUUGAACUUGUUGCUGCUGCUGGACAUUUCCUGACUCUGCAGCUAAUGGUUUUCCAGCCACACCUUGGUUUGCAGAAUUGAUUGCUUGAGGAAACUGAGACUUUUCAACUUGUUGAGUAUAGCUAGAACCCCUUUGUUGGACAAAUUUAUGAGAAUUGUUAUAAUUGUAAGAAUACAAAUGUUGGAUCUUCUGAAGGACCUCUUCAAUUGGAGGUGGAGGUCCAGGAGAUUUCGCAUGCCUGUAACGACAAUCAGGUCCGUUAGGACAAAAUCCUAGCUUGUACCUGCAGAAGUAGAAAUGUCAAAAUCAUAAUAGUUUGAUAAUCUCAUUUUAUAUAUAAUGAAGAAAUUAAAGACAAAAAUAUAACUGAUCAAACAUGGAACAAGAGGAUUUUUGUUUGUUAAAAUAGAAAAGAAAAGAAAACUAUUUAUAGAAGAGUGCAGUGUAAAUAAAAUAAAUGACAGCAGUAGAAUGGAAAACCUUGUUAGACAACAGUGACAAGCAUAAAAGAUGACAUGAUAUAUAAUCCAAGCACAUUAAACCAAUAAGGCCUUCCAAUCUCUUAGAAUAUCAACAAAAAAGGCAGCUCCCUAUAAAACUUCCAAUCUCUGUUCAAAAUUCAAUACUAAAUAAAUUCAAUACAUGCUAAAACUUAGAAGUAAACCUGGUUUGUAAAAUCCAAUUGCAGCAGAAAACAUUUUCUCAACAAUUAGUUGAUUGUAAUUAUACAGAGAAUGGUGAUGGCCAUCUGGUGAUCAAAUUUUCAACAAGCUGGGGAGAAUAUAGACAAAUGAGCGGGUUCAAUACAACAUAUUAUUGGUAAUUAUUUGAUAGCUACGACAACCAAAACCCAAAUAGUAGCACUACAGCUAUCAUUUCACCAUGCAGACCCUGUGAAGACUGUACAUUAUUCUUUCUCUUUUCUUUUUGGGAGUUUAUAGAGCUUUGUUCUUUCUCUACAACACUUAAUAUUCAUCAAAGUGAAGUGUAGUCUAAUAUAUCAUUGAGCUAAGUGAGACACGGCCCCUGGUUGGUCUGUCUCAAAGAGUAAUGUAUGCUUAACCCACCCACCCCACCCCCCAUCCUUUGGCCACCGGACUCCUCCUCCAAGCAUAUAAGCAUGAGAUUUCAACGGAAACAUUCAUCUCCCACCCCACCCCCCAUCCUUUGGCCACCGGACUCCUCCUCCAAGCAUAUAAGCAUGAGAUUUCAACGGAAACAUUCAUCAAUCCAACCGUUCUUUUCUAGGUACAUAAUUUGCAUACUAGAAUCAACUUGAAAACCCCAACACUAAAAUUUACCAAUUCCCAUAACCAAGAAAAAAGAACAGGGACCAACUAUAAGAUUCGAUCCAACAUCCAAUAUCAUCUUUUCAUCUAAUCAAAAAGCCCUAGUGUAUAUAACAAGCAAUGUCUAAAUGUGCACACAAAAAAUGCAUUAUAAAAGUAUGAAACAUCGUUGCACAUAUGCCUUAAAGAGCAUGGAAUCCUUAACCUAUAUACAUGACAACCAAUCACUAAUCCACCAAUUAAACUCAAUCAAAAGCAACAGCUCAAAUAAACAAUCUUCAACAACACAUAACAGACACACACAAACACAAUCACAAUUCAAUUUAUGCACUAAAAACAAAAAUGGCCAAGAAUCAUUCCUCACAUAAUACACACCCUAAAUUGGAAGGAACCGCAUAUAUACAUACAUAUAUAAAUACAGUAUACAAAAUUUACAAAAAUACAAAAAUACUUACAUGUUACACUCCUUGAUAUCUUCAUUAGUGUGCUUGUAAACACAAUCCUGCUCACGACACUCUCCAUACAAUCUAAAAAACCGGCACACCGGCAUCCGAGCCUUAUCAUACUGGUGCAAAAACCCGCAGGCUUCGCCUUUCAUACACAGACUACGUAGCCAGUGCCGGCAAACCGUUUGCCGGAAGCUCCUUCGUCCAGGAUUGUUACCGGGAACGGGCUCAGCAAUCGAAGGAGCGGGGGCACCAUUGGAAGCCGCGGAAGGUGGCAAGUAGGAAUCGGACUGGACAAUAGGACCGGAAGGUGCAGCGGAAACGGUGGCAGAUGCGGUGGCGGCGGAGGGAGGAGCGUCGAGACCGCCCUCGAAAUCGAAGCUGAGGACUCCCUCGGAAUCCUCCAUUUGGAUGGAAGGAGAAACGGUUGAAGUGAAUUAGGGAUUUGAAGGGGAAAUAUUAGUAAAAAUGUUAUUUUGAUUCGAUUCAAAGAGGAACAGAAAAAGGUUAACGGCGGGACUCUGAUACAGUGAAGGUCACAGAACUAAAACUGAAAGAGGAAACACCUGUUUGUGUUUUCCCGUUUACUUUUACUUUUUAUCUAUGUUUUAUUUCAAUUCCAUUGUUUUAUUAUAUUAUUACUUUAACUUAACUAUUUUUUUCACUAUUUUUUUUCAUCUCAUAAUUUUUAAAGUGAAUUUGAUCUCAUAAUUUUUAUAGUUGAAUCAUCAAAAGUAGAGAAAUAUUUUGAUUAUAAAAAAUUAAAGAAAUAAGAUAUUAAGUUCUCUUCAAAAAGACUUUAUAGUCGAUAAUUUUUUGAGUUUGAACAAAAAAUAUGUAAUGCAUAAGGUAGAAGUUAUUUUGGUGUUGUGGUGAGAAUUUUUGGUACGGCGGAGUUAGGAGAAUCUUCAAGAUUAACGCUUCAAUGCUUAAGUUAGUGAAACUAAAAAAAAUGUAGUUAAAGAGUUUGAAUGAGAUGAAACUUGCAAUAUUAUGGUAUGGUUUAUAUACGUCAUGUGGUUGAAAGUGCUUAUGUCUAAUUCGGCGUGUGAUGUGGGAGUCAUUCGAUCAGAUAUAACUGCGGGUGAUGUUCGGGUGAUUUGGAUCGAAUGUUUGGCUUUCUAAGGAAGUUGAACUUGGCCAUUUGUCUUACUUGGUGGUGUUUUGUAUUGGACCUUUGUAAUUGAACUAUAAGAGGCAAAAAAGAUAUACAAGUUACAACAAUCAAUUUAUGGAUUUAAGCAAGCUUCUAGGAGCUCGAAUAUUCGUUUUGAUGAAACUCUAAAACAAUAUGAAUUCGUUAAAAACGAAGAUGAACCUUGUGUCUACAAGAAGGUUAAUGGGAAUAAGGUCGUCUUUCUAAUAUUAUAUGUAAAUGACAUAUUACUCAUUAGAAAUAAUGUUCCUGACUUGCAGCAAGUGAAAACUUGGUUAGGAAAAUGCUUUUCUAUGAACAAUUUGAGUGAAGCAACCUAUAUAAUAGGAAUUUGAAUCUAUAAAGAUAGACCAUAAAAACUAUUUAGCCUAAGUCAUAGUACAUACAUAUACAAAGUGCUAAGACGUUUUAAUAUGCAUGAUUCUAAUAAAUGAUUCAUAUAUGUGAAAUAUGGCUUGUGUCUAUUAAAAACACAAUCAUCUUCAACUACGAAAGAAAAAUAUUGCAUUAGUAAGGCCUCAUAAGCAUCUGCAAUAGGAUUUAUUAUAUAUGUCAUGAUAUAUACUCGACCAGAUGUCUCGUAUGCUUUAAGUGCAACGAGUAAGUACCUGUCUAAUCCUAGUGAUGUACAUUCGGUUUCUAUGAAGAAUAUCCUUAAAUACUUGGGAAGGACUAAAGGCUCAAUUUUAACAUAUGGAGAUCAAAAGGAAUUUAUUAAAUAGUAUACAUAUAUGAUAGCUUUCAGACACGUAAAGAUGACUUUAGAUUGCAAUUUGGUUAUGUAUUUUACUUAAAUGGUGGCAUUGUGAUAUGAAAAAGUUCAAAGAAAAAUAGUUCUUGAUUCUACAAUCGAGGUUGAGUAUAUUGUUGCCUCAAAUGCAGUAAAGUAAGUUGUUUGGAUCAAGAAAUUCAUUAGUUAACUUGGCAUAGUGCCUAACAUUAUAGAUCCCAUUGAACAUUGUUGUGAUAACAAUGGUGUCACCGCACAAGCUAAGGAGUUUAGAUCUCACUAAUGAUUCAAACACAUACUUGAGAUCGAUCACCUUAUAUGAUAAAUGAUAAAUAGAGGAAAGGUGAAAAUGUGUAGAGUACCAAUAUUUGACAAUGCCGCUAACUUACUGACAAAGUCUCUUGCGCAACAGUAGCGUGAUAGACAUACUUGAUCUAUGGGUAUUAAGUGUAUUAUUGAUUGGCUCUAGUGCUAGUGGGAAAUUGUUGGUGUAAGUCCUAUAUACCAAUAAUUUUAUUAGAACUUGGUACUUGUAUCGAAUUAUCUAUUAAUAAUAAUGAGACAUUUUUUUAUUAUGUUUGUUUUCUCAAAGUAAUCAAGUCGUAUAAUAGAUAGUUUGCUUUAUGAAGCAUUAAGUGCGACUUAAUCGUGAGACUCCAUUAAACAUAAGAACAUUAUUUUUAAAGUAUAUGUAGUCAAACUUUAUUCUGAAGUGGAAUAACAUUAAAGCAUUGAGACUAUUAUAUAUAUAAACUAGUGAUCACAUCUCACAAAUCGUGGAUAAAGAGUUAUCAAGUCUUCACAUAUGUAUAACUAUUAAAAGUAAUAUUUAUGGAUUUAUCUUCUCACGGGUAUUGUCAAGGUGAUCCAAGGUGGUAAAGUGUGUUGUUAGCAAAGUUGCAAUCAACUGACUAGCUAUUUGGUUUUAACGAAUACAACACCUGAUAUCAAACAAUAUCAAGUAAAGUCUUUAUUUAUUAAAGAUAGCUCAAGAGGUAGAAUAUGUUAAAGGUGUUUUAUCAAGCUAUCCUCUUGAAUUAAGCUAUCCUCUUGAAGAUUCUCUUGAAUGUCAAGUCAUCUUUGUGAAGUCAACACUAUGGUCAAACGACAUUCAAGUGAAGACUUAUGCUUCUGUUUGGUGUUAAUAUAUAGAAAAUCGGUCCAGAGGAGGGUGAAUAGACCCUUAUUAAAAAAUUCAACCGCUUUUCAAAAAUAGAAUAUCAUAGGUUUUUCAAAAGUGCGCGCGAAAGGUUUGAGGCGAAAAUAUGAAAAUUAUACUAUUUGUCAGAAAGAGAAAAUAAAAUAUAACUUUUGUUUCUUGCUUUCUUCAUGAUUCCUUGUUCAUUCUUCCAACCAACAACAAAACAAAACUUCACCAAACCACAAAAUAAUAAAUAUUAGACAAACAUAAGUUCAAACCAACAUUCACAAAACAAAAAUUUAAAAGAAAUGCAAAAGAAAGCAUAGUCAUUAUUUCUUGCUCCCAGCUACUUUAAGAUUCUAAAAUAAAAAGGAUCCAAAGAAUAAAAGAGAUUAUAGAAGAAUAAUAAUUUAAGGAACAAUAAAAAUGAGAUCUAGGUUUUUAUGAUAUGGGGAGAAUAUGGUGGAUUUGAGAGAAGAUUUGAUGCAAAUAGAUGUAAAACGAUGUAUGAUGAGGAAAUGAAGAAGAUUUUAAUAAUAAUUUGAAGAAGAAGAAUAAUUUGAGGAACAAUAAAAAUGAGAUCUAGGUUUUUAUGAUAUGGGGAGAAUAUGGUGGAUUUGAGAGAAGAUUUGAGACAAAUAGAUGUAAAACGAGGGAUGAGGAGGAAAUGAAGAAGAUUUAAAUCCAUGUUUUGAGUUUUUGAUUACUUUGUAAGACCCCAAUUUUGAUCCUAAGACCCCUCAUGCUAUCCCAUCAUAUGCAUUGGAUUUGGGAUCACACCUUGGCAUCCUCCUUACCCAUAAUUUAUUGGGUUUGAAUUGGGAGAGAUCACCAAGCACAUUUGAUUGUAUCAUACUUUGUUUUUCAUUAUUUACUAACCAAAAUGCCAAAAAUAUGUCUAUGUAUAGCUUUGUUUCUUUUGUAGGUAGUGUGUACAUCCACCAAUGCCUCAUCAAGCUCACAAUUAGGGUUUCAGACCCCCGGCGCAAGGAGAUUAAUGAAGAGAUGGUUCACAUUAUUUAUAGACAUCAUUUAUAGAUCCCCAUGAUCUUUAUUUAUCAUUUUGAUCAAGAAUUCAUCAAGAGUUUGAAGCUCGUUUGCCUUGGAAGCCCUAAUUCAUCUAGGUAUCUUAUGUGACUUCCUCAACAAGUUUCUUCAACAAUUGAUCAAAUAUAUCAAAUGAUACCACAUAUUACAUCAUCUUAUACAUAUAUUAUCAUCCAUGAGUCCCAAAUGUCAAUAGAACUUCAAGUUUGCAAGUUGGUCUAAGGUGGUUGACCAGAGAAAGUCAACUGGUCAAAACUGGGGUUCACUAGACCCUAUCUCCUAAAACAUUCCAAAUAACUUUCAUGUUUAGUUCAAGGUCUAGUUUUUCUUGGAA